rnacentral:lncRNA from 1 species
CCUCUCUUCUUCCUUCACUUUAGGAACCGCCACCUUGAGCACCCCAUUCUUCAUCUCCGCCUUAAUCCCAUCCAAUUUGUACAAGUUUUGAGGAAUUUCCAGUCUGGUAGAGUACCUUCUUCUAUACUCUUCAUCUUCGGAUUCUUUCUCGCCCUCUCCUUUGAUGAUCAGCGUGUUCUCCUCCACCGCCACCUUCACGUUCUCCUUGUCGAGCCCAGGCAUGUCCAUUUUUAUAUACAGAGCAUCGUCGUCCUCCCUCACGUCCCAUCCUCUCCUUGAUGGGUUACCAGCACCCAUAGCAUGAGGCGCCGCUGCAAAUGGAGAAUUCAUCAUCUGGUCCAUCAUGUUCAGCAGCUGACUCACGCUCCUUGGAGGUGAAAAUGGAUCGAAUACAUCUGUCCAACCAAAACUCCAAGUGAGGCAAAAAAUACGAUUAUAAGAGUUGAGUUUUAUGUAGCGUUAAAGAGUAGAAAAAAAAAAAAAAAAAAAAAAAAAAAAAAAAAAAAAACACACACACACACUGUCUAGACAAGCUAAAAAAUACAAAACAAAUCAAAAAUCAUGAGUUAGAACUAUUAACUUUCAUCAACUUAUAAACCAAAAGCUAUAAGUAGAGCUAAUUAAACAAGGCCGACUAAUUAUCAUUUAGUAGAUCCCAAGUCUUGGGAAAACGAGAUGCAAGGGGUAAAUAAGUAACUUCAGUAGAAACACAUUGCUAAACCAAAAAUCCAAUGAGUCUAAAAAGUACAGUAGAAGCUAGUUUAAUAGGGCAGAUUAAUCAUCACAUACUAGAUCACAAAUAUGAGUAAAACAGAGCUAUGAUGUACUGGAAAAGUAACCUGAGAAGAAACACAUUUGCUAAACCAAAAGCCCAAACUUCUUAAAAGAUGCAAUAGUAAUGUUGUGAACUUUAAGCACCUAUGGGCUGGAAAUGCUGAAUUAGAUUGAUUAUAUUGUAACUAUGGGGUCGCGUAAAAUAUUGAAAACAACAGCUUUACGAUAUUGAUGUGAACAAUGUUGUCUAUCAUCUCUACUCUGUAUCUCUAAUUUACUCAUACUAAUUCUGUAUCGUUUAAUUUUUCAUCCCCUUUCUUCCUAGUAAUUACUUUGUAAUUCCAGUUUAGUUUCAAUAUAAACUAACUACUCUAUUGGACAGAGAAUGGAAGAUGUUCGUGUAAAGUGACUGGUUGAGUAAUUGUUAAUACUCGCAAAUUCGAGAAAAAAAACAGAGAUGUUAAAGAGGAGACAGUUUACCUGAGAAGAAGCUGGGGAAAGCGUCCUGGCGGCGAGAAACAGAGCGAUCAGGGCGUCUUUCAACUUCAACGCUGCGAUCAUCAUCAUCGUAAGUUGUCAUCUGAGUGUUAGUAUUGAAGGAUCGGAAAACAGAGGCAGAGCGGACAGGGUUAACGAGUCUGUUGAAGAGAGGUGAGGUGGUAGCCCUCCUAAGAGCAAGUGAAGUUGCCAUUUCUGCUACCAAUCAAAGAUUGCUUGCUUGCUUACAAACUUCUCAAGAGAAAGAAGGAGCUGCUUUAAUGGAGAUUUUCGCCGACUUAGCUUCACGUUAUACUUUGCUGAAUAAGGAUGACCACUUUAUGUGAAUAGAGUGUUUCAUUUUUAUAUGCUGUAAUAGUGAGUUGGAUAAGGGAAAAAGGAUUCGAGAAACUCAUAGAAGCAUCUUGUAGAAAGUUCCAGAGUUGUGGUGAGUGAGGAUUUAUGAAGACGUUUCUAGAAGCGAGUGGACGACGCUUCCGGAUUGUUCAAAUUAUUGUGUCCUCGGCUGAUCAAUUCGUUAUGGUCGGACUCCAUUACGAUUUUUGGGAAAGGGUCCAACAUACACGAGAAAAUUAAGUGUAGGGUCAUAAAUAAAUCUUCAAAUUAAAUUUAGUGAUAAGUUUGAUUAAUUUAAGUUAACUUUUUUUAUUUUAUGAUUAAGUUAUAUUGGGAUAUAAAAUGUAACUUUUAAAAUGCCUAAACUUUACCAAAAUAGAAAAUAAAGUCAAUCAAAAAACAUGAGUCACUUUAUCAAUUUUUUAAAAUUAAUCUCAUAAUUUUUUUUCUCUCUCUAAAAGAGAGAGAAAAAUGACCAUCUCCCAUGCUUCUCUCAAACAACAUAUUUAAGCUGGCCUCAAGUUAUCGUUUUCUUGUAUUGUCAUUGUUAUCUUCGAUCUAAGUUAGAAUUUUGAUUCAUAAAGUUAUUUUCUUUACUUUCACAAUUAAGGUUUAUCCAUCUAUAAGAAUUUGUUGAUUUUGAAAAAAUGAAUUUAGAUUUUUGAGAUUUGUGAUGUUCUCUUUUGAAUAGUCUCAUUAAUCAUGAAACAAUUUCAAUAAUGUAGUUUCUUAAAAAUUCACUUAUUUAGUAGAAUUUUAAAAAAAAAUUAUAUUUUUAGAAGUGAAAAAGAACGUUUUGUGCUACACUUGAAUUUUUUACAGUAAAGAUAUAAAUCUAAAUUUAUUUUGAAUUUAUUUUUUUAUCAGUAUGUUUGAUUUAAAGGGAUGCAUUUACUCAUUUCUUGAAAAAGAAGAGCUUUGUUAACUUGAAUUUGUAAAAUUUAUGAUUUUUAUGAAAUUGAAAUUGUUCUCGUUUGAAUUAUUUUAAUAUUAUUAUUUUUUACAUGCAGAUUGUGCAUCUAUGGAUAAGUUCUACACCCAAUGAGAUGUGGAUUGUUAUGAGGUUUUGAAGGCAUUGUCAAGUGUCCAAAAAAAGGCAAAGAGACAGGUUGAAACUACCAUCGAGAAGAAAUUGGUGUCCUAGUUGAUUAAAGAUAAUUUAUUUUAAAAAAAUCUUUAUAGUUGAUUUGUUAAGAUUUGUUGAACUUUUUUGUUAUGUUUUGUUGAACUUUUAUAGUGGUGAUGAGAUGAGAUUCACUUGUGAAUUGGUUCUCUUGGAUUUAAAGAACUUUUGUAGUGUGAUAGGAGUUAGAAUUCAUAAAUGUGUUUUAUUAGUAUAAAUGUUGUUUGUUUGCAAUAACAGUUAUUUGAUAUAACUUAGUCAUUUGUUUCAGCAAUUGUUGUAAGUUGCUAGAAAUUUCAUAUCAGUUGCUGAAAUGUACUUACACAAGUAAGUUGCUAAAAAUUUUACAGUAAUUGCUGAAAUAUCCUACAAUAAGUACGUUAGUUGCUGAAUAUUUUAUACUUGCUAAGAUAUGCUACAACAAGUAUGUUUGUUGUUGAAAGUUUCACAAUAACUGCUGAAAUAUGCAGCAACAAGUAUGUAAUUAGUCUAAUUUUAGAAUGCAAUUUAGAUUUUAUAGUUAUCAAAUGCAAUAAAAUGAUAAUUUAAUAUAUACUAGACGGUCAAUUAAACGAUCACAAAUGUGAUCAACUAAAACUGAGUUAAAUGAUCGCUAAUUGAUUGGCUCAAUCAUAUUUAAUGAUAAAUAAAGUAAUAUUAGUCUAAUUUAAGAGUGUAAUUAAGAUUUGAUUACUAUCUUAAUUGAAUUUGUUACAACAAGUAAGUUAGUUUGUUGUAAUAUGUUACUACAAGUACGUUAGUUGCUUAAUGUUUUACAACAAUAGUUGAAAUUUGCUACAGCAAGUACGUUAAUUAUUGAACAUUUCAUAACAAUUGUUGCAUUAUAUUACAACAAGUACAUUAGUUGUUGAACAUUUCAUUGCAAUUGUUAACAAUGUAAUCAAUUAAAAUUGAGUUAAAUAAUCACCAAUUGAUUUAAUCAAUCAUACUUAAUGAUAAAUAGGGUGAUAUUAGUCUAAUUUAAGCUUAAAAGUUAUAUUUUAUAUAAUCAAAUAAAAUAAGAUAAUAAUUUGAGAUAUACUAAACGAUUAAUUAAACGGUUGCACAUGUAAUCAACUAAAAUUGAGUUAAAUGAUGAUUAAUUGAUUGUAUCAAUCAUAUUUAAUGAUAUAUAGGGUGAUAUUAGUCUAAUUUAAGAGUAAAAUUUAGAUUUUAUAGUUAUCAAAUACAAUGAGAUAGUAAUUUGAAAUAUACAAGAAGAUCAAUUAAACAACAACAAAUAUAAUCAACUAAAAUUGAGUUAAAUAACCUCUAAUUGAAUGGAUCAAUCAUAUUUAAUGAUAAAGAAGGUGGUAUUAGUUGAGUUUAAGAGUAAAAUUUAGAUUUGAUUGUGAUCUUAAUUAAAUUUGCUACAACAAGUAAGUUAUUUGUUAGAAAUUUCAUAACAAUUGCUGAAAUUUGCUACAACAAAUACAUUAGUUGUUGAACGUUUCAUAACAAUUGCUGAAUUAUGCUAAAACAAGUAUGUUAGUUGUUGAAUGUUUCAUAGCAAUUGCUUCAGAUGUAAUCAACUAAAAUUGAGUGAAAUGACCACUAAUUGAUUGAAUAAAUCAUAUUUAAUGAUAAAUAGGGUGAUAUUAGUUUAAUUUAAGUCUAAAAUUUAGAUCUUAUACUUAUCAAAUACAAUGAGAUAGUAAUUUGAGAUAUACUAGACGAUUAGUUAAACGAUUGCAAAUAUAAUCAACUAAAGUUAAGUUAAAUGACCUCUAAUUAAUUGGAUCAAUCAUAUUUAAUGAUAAAUAGAGUAAUAUUAGUCUACUUUUAAGAGUAUAAUUUAGAUUUUAUAGUUAUCAAAUACAAUGAGAUUGUAAUUUGAGAUAUACUAGACGAUCAAUUAAACGGUUGCAAAAAUAAAAUUGAGUAAAAUGAUGAUUAAUUGAUUAAAUCAAUCACAUUGAAUGAUAAAUAGGGUGAUAUUAGUCUAAUUUAAGAGUAAAGUUUUUAUUUUAUAGUUAUCAAAUACAAUGAGAUAGUAAUUUGAGAUAUAUUAGACGAUCAAUUAAACAAUUGCAAAUGUAAUCAACUAAAAUUAAGUUUAAAUGACCGUCAAUUGAUUGGAUCAAUCAUAUUUAAUGAUAAAUAGAGUAAUAUUAGUCUAGUUUAAGAGUGUAAUUUAGAUUUGAUUGUGAUCUUAGUUGAAUUUGCCACAACAAGUAAGUUAGUUGCUAGAAUUUUCAUAACAAUUGCUGAAAUAUACUACAACAAGUACGUUAGUUGCUGAAUGUUUCAUAACAAUCGCUGAAAUAUGUUACAACAAGUACGUUAGUUGUUGAACAAUUCAUUGCAAUUGUUGCAUUAUACUGCAACAAAUACGUUAGUUGUUGAAUGUUUCAUAGCAAUUGUUGCAAAUGUAAUCAAGUAAAAUUGAAUUAAACGAUUACUAAUUCAUUGAAUCAAUCAUAUUUAGUGAUAAAUAUGGUGAUAUUGGUCUAAUUUAAUCUUAAAGUUAAAUUUUAUUGUUAUCAAAUACAAUGAGAUAGUAAUUUGAGAUAAACUAGAUGAUCAAUUAAACGACUACAAAUGUAAUCAAUUAAAAUUUAGCUAAAGGACUGCUAAUUGAUUGAAUCAAUCAUAUUUAAUGAUAAAAAAGGUGAUAUUAGUUUAAUUUAUGAGUAAAAUUUAGAUUUGACUAUGAUCUUAAUUGAAUUUGUUAUAAUAAGUAAGUUAGUUGCUAGAAUUUCACAACAAUUGCUGAAAUUUGCUAUAGCAAGUAUGUUAGUUGUUGAACAUUUCAUAACAUUAACUGAAGUAUGCUACAACAAGUAUGUUAGUUGUUGAACAUUUCAUAUCAACUGUUGAAUUACGUUACAGCAAGUAUGUUAGUUGCUGAACAUUUUCAUAGCAAUUGUUGUAAUCUGUUGAAUCUCCUAGAUAGUAUAACAUGCAUCUUUUUUAAAACUGCAUAACCAGAACAACCAUAAGACAAAAUUUGUUCACAAAUAAUAACAACAAUAAUAAGAUGUGUUCAAAAAUAACAAAAGUAAUAAAAUUAAAUGUGUUUUUAUGGAGCAUUUCUCUCGAAGCAUAUAGUCCUUUUGUGUCCAGCCUUUUGCAUAUCUAUGAAUCAUUUAUUUUCUUGGUUGAAAAUAAUUCUAUGAUUCAUUUUCUUGUUUUUAAUGGUCUUCUUUUAAUCUUGCUUAGCUCAACAAAUGAAGGAGAUAUUUUUCUCUUUAAAAUCUCAACCCUUUUAUAUAUUUUUAGUAGUUUCCACGAUUGAUAAAUCAUUUGCUGAAUAAAUUAUUCAACAACUGCUGCAUAUUUUUCAGUAGUUGUUGCAUUUGUUUCACUACCUGCUGCAGUUGUUGAAACAUAUAUUGCAAGGGCAGGACCAACAAUAUAAAACUCGAACUCAGAUGAUUAAGACAAAUCAGGCUACAUACUUUAUUUAUUAAAAUUAUCGAAAAUUCUUUUUAAAGCAAUUUUUAAUGCUACACGAACAAAAUUUAGUUCAAAAUUGUAAAAAAGAAAUCCUCUCAAGCUCUUUGCAUAAGAAAUUCAAAACAAUAGCAGCAAUAACAACACCAAGAAUAGAGCAACAAAAUAGAGGAGGGAAAGCGGAGGAGAAGAAGAAAAAGAAUGAAUGAAGAAGAAGAAGAGAAAAAAAAAGAGGAAGAAGAAACCAUUGGGAGAAAUUGUUGGGAGAGAAAAGAGGAAAAAGAUUUAUUUCUCUCCUUUUAGGAAUUAGGAUUUUAAUUAAAAUUUGAUUUAAAUUGUAAAUAGUAAAACUUGAGGAUUUAUUUAAAAGAAAGUCAAUUAUUAUUAAUUCUAAUUAUAAAUUUGUCACCUACAUCUAAUAUUUAAGACUUGAGUCACUCUUUUUACAUUUCAACUCUCUUUUGUCACCCUUAAUUAAUUCACUCAACUUACACCCUCUAAAUUGAAAAAUUAAAUAAAUAUAUUCUUCGUCAUAUUUUUUUAGAUAAAUUUAUUCUUAUUAUCAUAUUUUGAAAUUAAAUUUAUUAUUUUAUUUUUAAAACUAUCUAAAUAUAUAUUUUGUCCUGUUUUAGAAUCAAAUUUAAUUUUGAGGCCAUAUAUUAGGAUCAAAUUUAUUCUCGUUUUAAGAAAUUUUUCACAUGUAUCCUUCUUUUAAUAAAAAAGCUUAAAUCAACAUUAAAUGACGCAUUUUUUAAAGACUAAAUAAACUCUAAUCUAAUUCGUUGGACCCCUACUCAAACCACAAAAAAAUUCAUUUUACUUUUUGUUCAGUUGUAAACAAUCUGCCAACGUUGCACGUUGAAAAAGAAGUAGUUUUGUUUGUUUAAAAAAUUUAACCAACAAAAAAUUUUAUUUUACUUUUUGUUCGGUUGUAAAUAAUUUAUUUUUGUGUAUUUUUUGUUGGUCGAAUCAGGCAAAUUAAAUUAGAAUUUUAUUUAUUUUUAAAAAAUAAAAAUUUAACAUUGAUUUGAGCUUAAAAUGAGGUGUAUGGGUGAAAUUUUUUUUAACAAUGAGAUUAAAUAUAACUUCAAAGUAUGACAUUUAGGAUAGAUUUAGCCCCAAAAUUUGACGAACAGUAUAUUUAGUUAAUUGUAUAAAGUAAAAUAAUAAAUUUAACUCUAAAAUAUGACAGCAAGGUAAAUUUAAUUUUAAAAUAUGACAAAAUUAUAUUUAGCAAAUUUAAAACAGAGUGAUAAAUUUGACCCUUUUUUCAUUUUUUUAAUCGCAUUCGUAGUGAGGUUUUUUAAUGUCCUUUUUCUCUUGAGUUUUGGGUAUAAAAGAAGCGAUCAAGAAGAUAUAGGGAAUAACUAAUUUUAUUACAAGACAACUUAUUAUGUUCAUAUUUGGUCAGAGCAAAACAUCAUUUUCUUAUUAAUAUUAGAACAUAUUAAAAUGUGUAUUUAAUUGAAAUAGUUAAAACUAUCUGUUUUCUCAAUAUUUGGAUGCAUAAAACUUGUUUUUAUUAAAUAUUAGGGAAAAGUCAUCGUUUUCACCCUAAACUAUACACGAAAAGUCUAGGUCACACCUAAACUAUCAUAAUGUCCUAUUACACACCUAAACUAUAAAAAAGUGAAACUAUUUCCACCCUAAAUCUGAUGUGGAAAUAAAAUUUAAUUAAAAAAAAAAAGGUGCGUCCAAAAACAAAAAAAUUCUUUAAUACCCCCACCCUUCCUCCAUCUCACACAAAUUUUCUCUCCUUCAAUCCCAUCUUGAAUCGACGUCGGUCAAAAAAAAUGGUGAAACACAAAAGCAAGCUAUAUACGAUUUUUCCAUCGCUAGUGUCUGACCAAAUAUUUUCAAAGCUCCGCCAGUUCUUUUUUUUUUUCGUUCACACACAUUAAAUUUUUACGAAAUUUAGCUAUAUACGAAAGAAAAAUCGGAGAAUUUUACGAUUGCGAUGAAAUCAAUAAGAAGAAUUUUAUGGUUUUAAAAAGUAAUUGAAAAGCUAGUAAAGAGAGAAAGGAAGCUGUUACUGCUCUGGCCGGAAUCUUAUUGAAGCUAUUACCAGAAAAACAGACCGUUCCCCCCACUCUAUUCGCUGUCUUUGUUUCCUCUCCUUAUCUCUCGAUUUCUUUCCAUUUCCCCCUCUCUCUUCUCUCUACUCUCUUUAUGCCUUUUCUAUUUUUCGAUCGGGUGUGGUAUAGCUGUGUGUAUUGUUCUCUGGAUGAAAGAAAAAUGGAAGACCCUUUGGAUAGUGUUGUGUGUGCAUAUCCCCAACAAUACUGAUUCAGAAUGCUAUUAAAAAUUUUGAUGAAAUUUGGUGGACUAUUAAAAAUUUUGAUAAAAUUCUUGAAAAAUGGGUUAUCAAGAACUAUGCAAUAUGCUUUAUUGACAAUCAAGUUGUUAUGUAAUUACAGUGAAAGGAUGUGCAUUUUGAUUGUGAGAGAAGGGGUGUUUGAGAUUUGUGAUACUAAUGAUUGUAUUAUGAUUCCGAUAAUUAAAUUUAUAGUGUUUUUAAAAUUAUUGCGGUGAAGAUUUGAGUUUUAUGAUGAUGGUGUUAAUGGUGUUAAUGGUGGACUUUUGGUGUGAAUGGUGGCGUUAAUGAUGAUGUUGUUAAUGAUGAUUUUGGUGAAGAAGAAGUAAUGGGUGAUGUGGACUUUUAAAAAAAAAGACAUAAUAUCUGAUGUGGUAAUGACUUGGCGAUGAUGUGGCACGAGAGUAAAUCACUCUCCAUUAUGUGACUGGUUCUUACGUUUUGGGGUGAAAAUAGUUUCACUUUUUUAUAGUUUAGAUGUGUAAUAGAACACUAUGAUAGUUUAAGUGUGACCUAGACUUUUCGUGUAUAGUUUAAGGUGGAAAUGAUGACUUUUUCCUAAAUAUUAUAUUAAUUUAAUAUUGCACCAGUAAAAUAUUUGAAAAUUUAUAUGACAGCAUUGGUGGUCAUGACUAUUAGCAGUAAAUAUGUUUGUCGAUUUGAAAUGGUAUUUAUAUCCAUAUCUAUAAUCUAUAUCUAUAUCUAUAAUCUAUAAUAUAUAAUAUAUAAUAUAUUAAAACCUCGAAGCAUAUAGUCCUUUUGUGUCCAGCCUUUUGCAUAUCUAUGAAUCAUUUAUUUUCUUGGUUGAAAAUAAUUCUAUGAUUCAUUUUCUUGUUUUUAAUGGUCUUCUUUUAAUCUUGCUUAGCUCAACAAAUGAAGGAGAUAUUUUUCUCUUUAAAAUCUCAACCCUUUUAUAUAUUUUUAGUAGUUUCCACGAUUGAUAAAUCAUUUGCUGAAUAAAUUAUUCAACAACUGCUGCAUAUUUUUCAGUAGUUGUUGCAUUUGUUUCACUACCUGCUGCAGUUGUUGAAACAUAUAUUGCAAGGGCAGGACCAACAAUAUAAAACUCGAACUCAGAUGAUUAAGACAAAUCAGGCUACAUACUUUAUUUAUUAAAAUUAUCGAAAAUUCUUUUUAAAGCAAUUUUUAAUGCUACACGAACAAAAUUUAGUUCAAAAUUGUAAAAAAGAAAUCCUCUCAAGCUCUUUGCAUAAGAAAUUCAAAACAAUAGCAGCAAUAACAACACCAAGAAUAGAGCAGCAAAAUAGAGGAGAGAAAGAGGAGGAGAAGAAGAAAAAGAAUGAAUGAAGAAGAAGAAGAGAAAAAAAAAGAGGAAGAAGAAACCAUUGGGAGAAAUUGUUGGGAGAGAAAAGAGGAAAAAGAUUUAUUUCUCUCCUUUUAGGAAUUAGGAUUUUAAUUAAAAUUUGAUUUAAAUUGUAAAUAGUAAAACUUGAGGAUUUAUUUAAAAGAAAGUCAAUUAUUAUUAAUUCUAAUUAUAAAUUUGUCACCUACAUCUAAUAUUUAAGACUUGAGUCACUCUUUUUACAUUUCAACUCUCUUUUGUCACCCUUAAUUAAUUCACUCAACUUACACCCUCUAAAUUGAAAAAUUAAAUAAAUAUAUUCUUCGUCAUAUUUUUUUAGAUAAAUUUAUUCUUAUUAUCAUAUUUUGAAAUUAAAUUUAUUAUUUUAUUUUUAAAACUAUCUAAAUAUAUAUUUUGUCCUGUUUUAGAAUCAAAUUUAAUUUUGAGGCCAUAUAUUAGGAUCAAAUUUAUUCUCGUUUUAAGAAAUUUUUCACAUGUAUCCUUCUUUUAAUAAAAAAGCUUAAAUCAACAUUAAAUGACGCAUUUUUUAAAGACUAAAUAAACUCUAAUCUAAUUCGUUGGACCCCUACUCAAACCACAAAAAAAUUCAUUUUACUUUUUGUUCAGUUGUAAACAAUCUGCCAACGUUGCACGUUGAAAAAGAAGUAGUUUUGUUUGUUUAAAAAAUUUAACCAACAAAAAAUUUUAUUUUACUUUUUGUUCGGUUGUAAAUAAUUUAUUUUUGUGUAUUUUUUGUUGGUCGAAUCAGGCAAAUUAAAUUAGAAUUUUAUUUAUUUUUAAAAAAUAAAAAUUUAACAUUGAUUUGAGCUUAAAAUGAGGUGUAUGGGUGAAAUUUUUUUUAACAAUGAGAUUAAAUAUAACUUCAAAGUAUGACAUUUAGGAUAGAUUUAGCCCCAAAAUUUGACGAACAGUAUAUUUAGUUAAUUGUAUAAAGUAAAAUAAUAAAUUUAACUCUAAAAUAUGACAGCAAGGUAAAUUUAAUUUUAAAAUAUGACAAAAUUAUAUUUAGCAAAUUUAAAACAGAGUGAUAAAUUUGACCCUUUUUUCAUUUUUUUAAUCGCAUUCGUAGUGAGGUUUUUUAAUGUCCUUUUUCUCUUGAGUUUUGGGUAUAAAAGAAGCGAUCAAGAAGAUAUAGGGAAUAACUAAUUUUAUUACAAGACAACUUAUUAUGUUCAUAUUUGGUCAGAGCAAAACAUCAUUUUCUUAUUAAUAUUAGAACAUAUUAAAAUGUGUAUUUAAUUGAAAUAGUUAAAACUAUCUGUUUUCUCAAUAUUUGGAUGCAUAAAACUUGUUUUUAUUAAAUAUUAGGGAAAAGUCAUCGUUUUUACCCUAAACUAUACACGAAAAAUCUAGGUCAGCCCUAAACUAUCAUAAUGUCCUAUUACACACCUAAACUAUAAAAAAGUGAAACUAUUUCCACCCUAAAUCUGAUGUGGAAAUAAAAUUUAAUUAAAAAAAAAAAGGUGCGUCCAAAAACAAAAAAAUUCUUUAAUACCCCCACCCUUCCUCCAUCUCACACAAAUUUUCUCUCCUUCAAUCCCAUCUUGAAUCGACGUCGGUCAAAAAAAAUGGUGAAACACAAAAGCAAGCUAUAUACGAUUUUUCCAUCGCUAGUGUCUGACCAAAUAUUUUCAAAGCUCCGCCAGUUCUUUUUUUUUUUCGUUCACACACAUUAAAUUUUUACGAAAUUUAGCUAUAUACGAAAGAAAAAUCGGAGAAUUUUACGAUUGCGAUGAAAUCAAUAAGAAGAAUUUUAUGGUUUUAAAAAGUAAUUGAAAAGCUAGUAAAGAGAGAAAGGAAGCUGUUACUGCUCUGGCCGGAAUCUUAUUGAAGCUAUUACCAGAAAAACAGACCGUUCCCCCCACUCUAUUCGCUGUCUUUGUUUCCUCUCCUUAUCUCUCGAUUUCUUUCCAUUUCCCCCUCUCUCUUCUCUCUACUCUCUUUAUGCCUUUUCUAUUUUUCGAUCGGGUGUGGUAUAGCUGUGUGUAUUGUUCUCUGGAUGAAAGAAAAAUGGAAGAUCCUCCAAAUAGUGUUGUGUGUGUGUAUCCCCAACAAUACUGAUUCAGAAUGCUAUUAAAAAUUUUGAUGAAAUUUGGUGGACUAUUAAAAAUUUUGAUAAAAUUCUUGAAAAAUGGGUUAUCAAGAACUAUGCAAUAUGCUUUAUUGACAAUCAAGUUGUUAUGUAAUUACAGUGAAAGGAUGUGCAUUUUGAUUGUGAGAGAAGGGGUGUUUGAGAUUUGUGAUACUAAUGAUUGUAUUAUGAUUCCGAUAAUUAAAUUUAUAGUGUUUUUAAAAUUAUUGCGGUGAAGAUUUGAGUUUUAUGAUGAUGGUGUUAAUGGUGUUAAUGGUGGACUUUUGGUGUGAAUGGUGGCGUUAAUGAUGAUGUUGUUAAUGAUGAUUUUGGUGAAGAAGAAGUAAUGGGUGAUGUGGACUUUUAAAAAAAAAGACAUAAUAUCUGAUGUGGUAAUGACUUGGCGAUGAUGUGGCACGAGAGUAAAUCACUCUCCAUUAUGUGACUGGUUCUUACGUUUUGGGGUGAAAAUAGUUUCACUUUUUUAUAGUUUAGAUGUGUAAUAGAACACUAUGAUAGUUUAAGUGUGACCUAGACUUUUCGUGUAUAGUUUAAGGUGGAAAUGAUGACUUUUUCCUAAAUAUUAUAUUAAUUUAAUAUUGCACCAGUAAAAUAUUUGAAAAUUUAUAUGACAGCAUUGGUGGUCAUGACUAUUAGCAGUAAAUAUGUUUGUCGAUUUGAAAUGGUAUUUAUAUCCAUAUCUAUAAUCUAUAUCUAUAUCUAUAAUCUAUAAUAUAUAAUAUAUAAUAUAUUAAAACUGUGAAUACCCUUAGAAAAAUGAUUUGAAACUUUUACCCUUCAUUAAAAGUUUUCGCAAUAGACAAAUUUGUCAUUAACUAUUUUCUAAGUUAUUUUAAAAUUAUUUUAUUUAUAUAAUUUUUUAUUUAAAAUCAAGGAAAAAACUUAAAAAGGAAAGCAUGAACGUGUAAAAAGAAAUCAAAAACCCUAUUCUUGAAAAGAAGAAGAGAAUCUUAAAUCAUAUAAAACCCCUCAAAAUAGAAAAAAAAAAAAAUCCUAAAUUAGCGUCUAGAAUUUAAUUUUUCAAAAGCUCAACGAGAACAACAAAAGAUAUAUCCUAAAUAGGUUUGCAAACAUUGAAAACUUUUAACCUUAAAAUUUAAUGAAAAACAUUGUAAGAACUAAAUUUAUAUAUAUAUUAAAAUGUGUACUAUGUAAAAACUCCUAAUAUUUAGGACUUUUAAUAUAGUUCAAAUUAGAUCUAGGGUUCUUUAUAUAAAGAGAGGAAAAAAGAUGGAAAGGUGAAAAAUCUCCAUGCAUAUUUCUUGAAUCUUUUUACUAAUUUUGCUAUCACAUGUAAUUUUUAUUAAUGUUUUAAAUUUAUAUUUAUCAGUGAGGAAAAUCGAUCUCAAGUCUCCCAUAUAUUUACUUUUCUAGCACAUUUAUUGUGUAUUGGAUAUAUAAAGAUAUAAAUUCAACAAAAGACAAGUAUUAAGGUGGAAAGUUAGUUCGAUAGCUAAGCCAAUAUUUUUUCACUUAUUUAUCCCUUGUGUUUGGAUAUUAUUUUUUGUAUUCAUCUAAAGACAGCAGCGAAUCGAGAGAUUUUCUAAAACUCUUUGUGAAAUUUAUCCCUCUCUAAAUGUUAGGUAUAGUCCUUAAAUCUAACUACGUUUACAAAUUUAUGUUAUUUACUUCACAUGUAAAAAUAAUAUGAUAUUACUCAUAUUUGUUUUCUUAAUUUUAUGUGUUUAAGAAAAACACAAAAAAUUCUUUAUUUGUGAAAUUCUAAAUUAUAGCCUAUAAGAGUAUUUUGUUUGAUAUUAUUUUUUGGGAUACCUAUGUAUUUGAUGUUUUGUUUUGUUUAAUACAGGUGGUAGAUUAAUGUUUAGUCGACUUUAUCGAUUUUUUUGUAAAGGUUAGUUUUGAUUAUAUUAUUUUAUUAUCUUAAUUAUUAUAUUAUUUUAUUUUAAGGGUGUCAAGUAGGCCGGCCCAACCCGGCCCUCGUAACUAAUCCGGUCCGGUUUGACCCGGCCAGGUAAACCUUAGGCCUUUAGGGUUCCGGGUCCCAGACCGGUUAUUUUUUUAAAAUGGGUUACGGCUAACCCUGCCCGGACCAAGCCCGGUCCAGGCCCGCCGGUUAACCUGCCCGACCCGGCCCGGAUACCUUUUUAAAAAAAAAAAAAAAAAUAAAAUUUUGGGCCAAACUAGCCGUUGGCCCAACGGCUAUAAAGCCGUUUUUGGGUCCAAACAGCUAGUUUGGGCCCAUUUAUUAAAAAAAAAAAUUAACUUUAAAAAGUAUUUUUUAAUCCCAAAAAAAAAUUUAUAAAUACCCUACAACUUCAAUCAUUUUUCACACAAUUUUUCACUCUCUCUAAUCUCAUUUUCUCUCAAAUCUCAAUUCUCAAAUAUUCAAUAUAUUUAAUUUCUUAAAGUGUUCACUUUAAUAUUUUAAUUUUUCGUUUACAAAGUAUGAGUGGAAUUUUCUAAAUUCGCAACCUUCGGAUACUUCCAAAAUUUGGUAUUGUCGCUCCAUCUCUUACGUUUAAUUUUUAUUUAUUGUAUUAAUUGUUUAAUAUUUAAUUUUAUUAUAUUUGUGUAUUUUGAAUAUUUUUAGUUUAAUUUAAUUUAUAUUAUGGAUAAAUUAAGAAACCUCGCNNNNNNNNNNNNNNNNNNNNNNNNNNNNNNNNNNNNNNNNNNNNNNNNNNNNNNNNNNNNNNNNNNNNNNNNNNNNNNNNNNNNNNNNNNNNNNNNNNNNNNNNNNNNNNNNNNNNNNNNNNNNNNNNNNNNNNNNNNNNNNNNNNNNNNNNNNNNNNNNNNNNNNNNNNNNNNNNNNNNNNNNNNNNNNNNNNNNNNNNNNNNNNNNNNNNNNNNNNNNNNNNNNNNNNNNNNNNNNNNNNNNNNNCUUCGCCUCCGGUACCUCUUGGUACACCUUUUGAGGAAGAAAUAGGUGUAGGUGCUCACGAUAUGGAUUAUGUAGAAGCUUAGGAAAAUUACGGUAUAGAAGAAGAAAAUGAAGUAGAUGCGGUUAAUUUAGACGAAGAUAAUGAAAAUAUUGCUGAGACACCCGCAGUAGGAGAUGCUAACGUUAGAUCUGAAUCGGUUAAUCUCCCUCCCCGUCCUCCCAGUGCCCCAAGACCUCGUAAAAGAACUAUUGUUGCAUGACAAUUUUUUGAACGUAUAUCAGAUAUUGAGUUGCAAUACAAUAUUUGUCAACAAAUAUAUAAGCAUAGAAGUGGAUGCAAACAAGGGGUAUGGGUACGUUAAUGAGACAUAUAGCUGAAGAUCACAAAAGAGAGUUAAAUAUUGCACAAGAUGGUGGGGAUGUUGGUGGACCAACACAAACUAGAAUGGACCCAGCAACCGGUCACGUAGCGAAGAAGUAUAAUAAAUUGAGGGACCGGAAAGAAAUAGUUAAAAUGGUAGUUGUGGGUUGUUUGCCUUUUNNNNNNNNNNNNNNNNNNNNNNNNNNNNNNNNNNNNNNNNNNNNNNNNNNNNNNNNNNNNNNNNNNNNNNNNNNNNNNNNNNNNNNNNNNNNNNNNNNNNNNNNNNNNNNNNNNNNNNNNNNNNNNNNNNNNNNNNNNNNNNNNNNNNNNNNNNNNNNNNNNNNNNNNNNNNNNNNNNNNNNNNNNNNNNNNNNNNNNNNNNNNNNNNNNNNNNNNNNNNNNNNNNNNNNNNNNNNNNNNNNNNNNNNNNNNNNNNNNNNNNNNNNNNNNNNNNNNNNNNNNNNNNNNNNNNNNNNNNNNNNNNNNNNNNNNNNNNNNNNNNNNNNNNNNNNNNNNNNNNNNNNNNNNNNNNNNNNNNNNNNNNNNNNNNNNNNNNCAUUCAUAAUAUUGUUUUUAUUUAUCAACAUUGUUAAAAAAUAUUCAAUGUAGAUUGUCCCUAACUUUUGAUCUUGGUCGUGCUGUAAAUAAAAAUGAUUAUUUAACCGUUACUUGUCAUUGGAUGGAUAGUAAUUUCGUGAUGCAAAAACGUAUUCUUGCUUUUUUAUAUGAUGAAGAUCGUAAACAUACUGGACAAUUUAUUGCUGAUUCUAUUGUUAAAAUUGCCGGAUAUUAUGGUAUCGAAAAUAAAAUUUUAUGUAUUGCUUUUGAUAAUGCUUCUAACAACAAGACUGCUAUAACAAAAAUAAAAUCUACGCUAUCUCCGCCCUUGCCUGAAAUUUUUCAUAUUAAGUGUGCAUGUCAUAUAUAUAAUUUAAUUGUAAAAGAUGGUCUUGAGUUUUUUGAGCUUUAUAUUGAAAAAAUUCGUCUUGCCGUUGGUUUUAUUCAAGGAAAUAAUCGUAGAUCGAGAAUUAGAGAAUUUAAAGUUAAAUGUCAAGAAAAUGGACUUACACCGAUUUUGAUGCCUGAGGAAAUUGAUACUAGAUGGAAUUCUACGUAUGAAUUUUUAAAAACUUGUUAUAAAUAUAGAAUUCCUAUUACACUAGCUUUUAACCAAUAUUGCGGUUCAUUUGCUGAUUCUGCUGAUUGCAUGCUACAUAAUUCUGAUUGAGUUGUAAUUAAUGAUCUUGUUAAGUUUUUAGAAAAAUUUCAUGUAGCUACGGUUGAAUUUUCCGAUGCUUAGUAUCCUACUGUUUGUAAUAUUUUGACAUAUAUAGCCGAUAUUUCUGGUUUGCUCAAAGAAUAUAAAAAUAAAGAAGGUUAUAAAGAAGUUAUUGGCGUCAUGUUUACGAAAUUUUAAAAAUAUUUUUUCUCGAUUCCCCCUAUUUACUUGGUUGGUGCUAUGCUAAAUCCGUGCAUAAAAUAUAAUAAUAUGUGCCAAUUUAGUACUCUUAUUUAUACUAACUUAAAAAUAAAUACUAACUAUGAUUCUGAACAAAUACAACCUAAUUUGUGGACGGCUAUGGCUGAUGCAAAGGAUUACAUAGAAAAAUUAUAUAAUCACUAUGCUGAUUUAUUUGAUUUAGCCGUACCUACAAAUAUCACUCCAACUGUCGCUCCUCAUCCUCCCGAGGAGCCAUCAUCUUCUAAAAGGCCGGUACAUAGUGGUUUUUCUGAUUCGUUUUAUGAUUUAAAUUGUUGGAACAGUGUUGAUGAGAGAACUUACACAUCAACUUAUCGGGAAGAGCUGAAAUAGUAUCUUCGGACGGCACCAGAGGAGCAUAGAUGACGGAUCAACACGUUGGAUUGGUGGAGGAGUAAUGAAACACAAUAUUCUAUGCUUUCAAGAUUAGCUAGAGAUAUCUUGAAUGUUCCAAUGUCAACCGUUGCAUCAGAGAGCACUUUUAGUCAGGAACGACAGCAACUUGGAGACAAUCUACACUCAUUGGAAAGCAAUGCAAUGAAUUUUCUAGUUUGCCUCAGAGAUUGGAUUAGAGCGGAAAGAAGAAACCAAUGAAUGGAACCGGAGCCGAGCGACGAGCUGAAACUUGAAGAAAUUAUGACUUCACGGGAGAACUCAGCAGAAUCAAGUCCAAUGCAUNNNNNNNNNNNNNNNNNNNNNNNNNNNNNNNNNNNNNNNNNNNNNNNNNNNNNNNNNNNNNNNNNNNNNNNNNNNNNNNNNNNNNNNNNNNNNNNNNNNNNNNNNNNNNNNNNNNNNNNNNNNNNNNNNNNNNNNNNNNNNNNNNNNNNNNNNNNNNNNNNNNNNNNNNNNNNNNNNNNNNNNNNNNNNNNNNNNNNNNNNNNNNNNNNNNNNNNNNNNNNNNNNNNNNNNNNNNNNNNNNNNNNNNNNNNNNNNNNNNNNNNNNNNNNNNNNNNNNNNNNNNNNNNNNNNNNNNNNNNNNNNNNNNNNNNNNNNNNNNNNNNNNNNNNNNNNNNNNNNNNNNNNNNNNNNNNNNNNNNNNNNNNNNNNNNNNNNNNNNNNNNNNNNNNNNNNNNNNNNNNNNNNNNNNNNNNNNNNNNNNNNNNNNNNNNNNNNNNNNNNNNNNNNNNNNNNNNNNNNNNNNNNNNNNNNNNNNNNNNNNNNNNNNNNNNNNNNNNNNUAUAUAUAUUGUAGUAUAUUUUAUAAGUAGUAGUAUAUAUACAUUGUAUGGUGCAUAUACACGUGUAUAUAUCUUGUAUAUUUAACGUAUACAUGUGUAUAUGUUUUAUGAAUUAGUAUAUAUCUACAUAUAUUGUAAUGUAUAUAUAUUGUAGUAUAUUUUAUAAGUAGUAGUAUAUAUACAUUGAAUCGUGUGUAUAUAUGAGUAAUUGACUAAUUGUGUAUAUGUGUAUAUAUUUUUUAAAUUCUAAUGUAGUAUAUACUAUAUAUAUAGUGUAUAUAUAUUAUUUAACGUAUUUAUUAUGUAUAUAGGUGGGUAUAUGUAAUGUAUAUUGAAAGAAAUUUUUUUUUUUUUUAUAUUUUUGACCAAAUUUAACCGAUUUUUUAAGCGAAUUUGAGCGAAAUUUGAUGAGUUUGACCGGAUUGAGUUAAGUGAACCGGGUUAGAGUGGAUUUAAUUUUUUUUACUGUUUGGCCCAGCCCUACCCGUCUAGCGCCAAAAUCGGCCUUUAACCGGCCCUCAACCCGAUUAAAAUAGAAGAACCGAUUCCAAGUUGGCCCGACCCGACCCGUUUGACACCCAUAUUUUAUUUUACAUACACGUGCAAGCACGUACAUUUGACUAGUUGAAUGUGGUAUCUUGGAGGUUAGUGAUUGGCAAAAGUCAUUAAAAGUUGAUAAUAGUGAAUGUGGUAUCUUGGAGGUUAGUGAUUAAAAGUUGUUGAUGGUGGUAGUUGGUAGUGAAGGCUCACAAUUAGUUGUGGAUUAUAGUAAUAGCUAGUUGUGACAAAUGAACAAAUGGGAUUAGAUUUGUAUGAAUUCAUUGGAUUGAGCUAAAAUAAAUUAGAUUGCAAUCUAAUCAUGAACGUAAAUUAAAGAAAAUAGAUAAUUAAAAUAUGAAUUAGGUAAAAUGAAUUAAUUGAUAUUAUCCUUUAGCAUACAAUUCUAAUUUUUCUUUUCAAUAAAUAUACAAUAUAUUCGUUUGUCAUUUGUGCAGAAUGCGCCCUUACUAUUGUGUAAAAUAUAAUCUACGUAAUAUAAUGUUAAUGAUAAGAGUUAACAACGUGGAUCUCUUAGCAGGCCUAGCCUAAAGCUUUUUGCUCUAGUAUUUUGUCAUGUCAUUCUAAUGAUUGCUAACAACAAUCAGACUUGUUGAGAAUUUAUUAAUACUUUGGGACAAUUUUUCUCGAUUUUAUAUAAAUGCAAAAUGGAUCUAACGUACAAUAGAAAUCUAGCUAUACUUAAAAGACUCAGUAAUCUAAAUUUUUUUCGUUUAAGUGCGACAAAAUUUAAAGUCACACUGAAAAAUUCCACAUUUGAAGGUAUAAUGCUCCGUAACAGCAAUGGCUCAAUAACCAAAGAAUUCAACUCCAAAAUUUUCGAACUUUAUCUCUUCACUACAACCUUGUAUAUAAGUUAUCAAAAUUGUAUACGCUGAGAAGAUAUGAAUCUUAGUCUGGAUCAUAACUUACCUCACCAUGUUUAAAUAUUUUGAUCAACAGAUCAAGACAUGCCCUCCUCUUCAAAUAACCCUUGAACUCAAAUUUACAGCACACAACAUUAAAACGUUCGCUAUACACGAACAUCCUAAAAAUAGAAGUCCUACCUCAGAGAUGAUUUCCAUAACUUAAAAAUUCAUAAUUUGCAAACAUGUGUUAUCUAACUUUACCCACUAGUCUCAAGCUGUGCCCCAUUCCCUAACGAAUAUCAUUAAGAGCAAGGUCCACUGUUUGACACAAAUACAAAAUAAAACUAAGCCACUACUCAUUUCUGCUCUUCCACUUCCCGUACGAUUCUUCUAAGAGCAUCAUCACAUUCACAUUAUCACAUUGUAUGAUUUCUUUGUAGACAUUGCUAAAUGGCCAUGUGUUUAGAUAUUUUGGGUGAUGUGCCACGAGUCAACCAACUACAUUCUAUUACCGAAUUUCAGUGACUGUUAGAUUCCAUUAGCGUCUUUGUCAAAUACUAUUAACUAAUUAAAAUCCAUAAUUUUGGAAUCUUCACCUCCGUUGUGUUCUUUCCUGCAAGCUAAAGAUAGACCCUAUCAAAAACCAACUCCAGGGGCUAUUUGUAUUCAUCUCGACCUAGUCCUAGAUUAGAUAUGAAAGUUGGGGAUCUAAAACAGCGGCAGGGCAAAAGAUAGCGGCAACUGUUAUGAGAACAGAAAGACAUGAAGAGCAGUAUACUAACAACUUAAAACUGUUCGUUCGAUAAUUGAAGGGACAACCAUAUUUCCACCGUUCAGCAGAAGGUUAUUUUUCACACAAUAUUCACCUAAAAAUUGCACAAGCUCAACACAACUGAAGGCUCAUUCAACUUGAACAUUGAAAACAUCUUUCCUCUCUUCUUCCUUCACCUUUGGAACCGCUACUUUCAACACCCCGUUCUUCAUCUCCGCCUUAAUCCCAUCCAAUUUGUACAGCUUUUGUGGAAUUUCCAGUCUGGUAGAGUACCUUCUCCUAUACUCUUCAUCCUCGGAUUCUUUCUCGCCCUCUCCUUUGAUGAUCAGCGUGUUCUGCUCCACUGCCACCUUCACAUUAUCCUUGUCGAGUCCAGGCAUAUCCAUUUUUAUAUACAGAGCAUCAGCAUCCUCCCUCACGUCCCAUCCUCUCCUUGAUGGGACUACGGCGCCCAUAGAACGAGGCGCCGCUACAAAUGGAGAAUCGAUCAUUUGGUCCAUCAUGUUUAGCAGCUGCCUCACACUCCUUGGCGGUGAAAAUGGAUCAAACACAUCUGUAGUAAACCAAAAGUGAGUCGGACUUUUUAAUUUACAGAGUUCUGAAGUGUAUCUAUUCUAAUUUGUUGAGUUCUAGAUGAAUUAUUUAUAUGUACACCGUAUAAUUUACGCAAAUAUAACAUUUGUGCCUUUCUAUACAAGUAGCUAGCUUAACAGAUCUGACUAAAAUAUUAUACUAGAUCACAAAUUUGAUUUAAAUAAAACAUAGUCGUUAAAGAGCAUAUGUUCUUUUCUAAAAGAAAAGGUUAGAUUUUAGAUACGCAUAAUACACAAAUAUGACCCUAAACUUGACACCAAAUUAUAAUUUCGACCUUAAACUUCGACAGUUCACAAAUAUAAACUAUAACUAUUUAAAAUUGCACAAAUAUAGCCUCCAAUUUUUAUGUGGCAAAAUGCAUUGCAAGUUUAGCUUAAAAUUUAAGACCUAAACUUUAACAAUGCACAAAUGACCUUUUAACUAUUCAGAUACGCAAAAACAUGACCUUUGAAUGAGUUUCCACUAUUAUUUUUCAUUAUUUUCAAUUUAAAAAUAAAAAUGACAUUUAAUUUUUUUUGCCAUUGCGAAAAAAGAACAAUAUUGAAAAUUUAUUAAUUAGGUAGACAACCUCGUACAAAAAAAAACGUGCAGAUAUAUAUAUAUAUUAUAAAGCUGAGGAUGAAUUUAAAUUAUAUAUUAUACCUAAAUAUAAUUUAUUUAAAUAUUAAAUUAAAAAUGAAACUAUAUUAAUAAUAAAAAAAAUUAUAAUUUAAACAAAACACUAUUAAAUUAACAUUAUUAAAGACAGUAGUAAUAUAUUAAAUUAAUGCUAUCAAAUUAAUAUUAUUAAAUUAAAGUUAUUAAAAUGUUAUUAAAUUAAUGCAGUAGCGAACCUAAAUGGUUUCCAUGGGUUUCACCUUGGUUAUAAAAUAAAAAAUGCAUAUUUAUGUUUGUAUGUUAAUAUUGAACCACAUAAAACAAAAUACUUAGAUAAUCCAGUGAUGUUAUUUACUCGACUUCCUUUAAUCUACUGCACAAAUUCGAUGCUUGCUAAUGACUGUUUUUUUAAAUUAAAAGAAAUUAAAUGCUGCUAUAAAAAUAAAUAAAUAAAUAAAUAAAUAAAUAAUAAUAAUAAUAAAAAUAAAUUUAUUUUAACACAAAAAACAAAACUUUGACAAUACACAAAUAUAACCUUCAACUAAAUAUAACCUUUAACUAUUUAAAACAGCACAAAUAUAACCUCCUUCCAAGCCGGUCCUUUUAAAGACAUGACAUCAUAUAAUUAAAUUAUAAUUUUGCAUAGAUACGAGUGAGAUUCACACAUGAAAUUGUGAAAUCAGAUGUCAUAUUUGUUCAGAUUUGAUAUUAAGUUUAGAAUUGUAUUAUUUCUUUUAGAUAAAUUAUGUAAUUUAUACAUAUUAACUGAUGUCUUUGACGCCUAGUUACUGGAUUCCACAGCCUGUAUAGAGGAGUAGCUAGCUUUUUUAACAGAACCGACUACUCAUACAUCAUACAGAUCUGGAAGAGCUUUUUCUUAAAUAAAAAGAAAAAAAAAAAAACUUUUAUCAGAUUCUAGCUUAGAUUAUUUAUACAAUACAAUUAUAAGAUUUGAGCCUGAACUGUUGAAUUUUAGGACCCAGUACGUACAAGUAGCUAACUUAAACAGAGCCGACUAUUAUCAAACUAGAUCGCAAAAUUGUUUUAAAAUCAGAGAUUUGAUUAGUAUAUACUUAUUACAACAAUCUAUUAGAUUCAAGACAGAUUAUUUAUACAUAUUAAAUAAAUUUUCUUCCAUAUAAAUAACAUAUAUCUCAAAAAUCACGAUCAAAAGACAAAACAUAUUAAAAUUUCAAAAUUCAAAAACUGCUCACAUAAAUUGAAACAAAACAAAGUACUCUAUAAGAUUUGAGCCUGGAUUUCGCCAUCUAGUGUAUGCACGCAGGAGGCGAUUUUCUAGCUGGAUUUAAAAAAAUAUGUUAUCGCACCAUCUACUCUUAAUUCUUUAAGAACCAUUUAUGCCUUAAUAAAAAUAUUUUGUUGUUGUCAUGAAAUAUAUCAUAAAUUUGAGUGAAACAGAAGAGGAGUAAAUAAGUACCUGAGAAGAAACUGGGUAAACCGUCCUGACGGCGAGACACGGAACGACCGGAGCGCCUAUCAACAUCGACUCCGCGAUCAUCUUCAUCGUAAGAAGCCAUCUGAGCGUUAGUAUUGAAAGAUCUGAAAACAGAAGGAGCAACUGAUGCAGAACGGACAGGGUUAACAAGCCUGUUGUAGAGGGGUGAGAUGGUAACCCUCCUAAGAGCCAUUGAAGUUGCCAUUGAGAAAUAAUGAGCUGCUAUGGAGUUGAUUUUUGACGACUAAGAUGAUAAUGAUUAAUGUGUGUACGUAUAAUGUGUUGGUUUUAUAGCAUUUAGAGUGACUUGGAGAAGGGGAAAAGGGAUUCUAGAAACGCAUAGAAAGCAUAUUGUAGAAGGUUCCAGAGUUGUGGUGUGCACAUUUUUUGAAGAACGUUCUCGAGGCUAGUAGAAAAAUACACAUAUUCCGGAUUUUUUUUCGUUAUUAAACAUUGUUUUAUUUUUUUUUGGGUAGAACAUCAUAUGAUAAUUGAAACGAUUUAGGGUGUGUUUGGUACGAUGGAAAAUGUUUUCAUAGAAAAUAAGUUAGUGUUUUACUUAUUUUCUUGUGUUUGAUUGUUAAGUGAAAAAUAUUUUUCAAAAAAUAUUUUAUGGUGUUUGAUUGAUGAAUAGAAAAUGUAUUUUUUUUACCUAAAUUUUAACUUUACAUGAGAGUGUGACCCUCUAAUUAAAAAUAUAAUAUAUUUUUUAAAACAUAAGUAAUAUUUAAGUACACAUUUUUAAUUAUUCGAUCAGUUUGUAUGAGAUGUAACAUCAAUUAUAAUACAUUCAUCUGAUCAAAUUUAGAAAACAAUGUAAUUUUUUAUUACGAAUUGAUAAAAUAAAUUUAUAAUAAGGUAUUUUUUAUUUUGUAUUUAUUAGAAAAUAACUUCUUAAUACAAUUUAUGAAAGAAAAAAAUCAAAAAGAGUGAGGUAGGUGGUACUUGAUUUGAUAAAAUGAAGCAAUAAUUAAAAAAAAGAAUUGGUAAAAAACGUAAUAAAAAAUUAUAAUUUAUAAAUUGUAAUAAAAAGUUUUAAUUUAUAAAAGUUUUAAAAAAUUAUAAAGUUUUAAUUUAUAAUUUUUUUUUAAAAAAAAUUCAGUGUAUUAUCACAUCACUUUUUUAUGUCAAAUCAUGUAAUCGUAAUAAAUUAUUAUGUUUUAUAAAAAAGUUUUGUGAACGUAAUAAAUUAUUACUACAUUUUACUAAAAAAUUUUUACUAUACACAUCUACCAUUAAACCACUUAAAAAGGUAUAAAACGUAAUAAAUUAUUAUGUUUAGCCUAUUCUAGUAAUUUAUUAAAUAGGUGAUCUGUUUUGAUCAUUUUAUUCAUACUAGUUUAGUAUACGUACGUUGCACGUGUAUUUUAACUAAAGAUAUUAAUCAUUUUAUACGACAUUCAGAAAGAGAAGUUUUUACUUGAUUAAUUGAUUUCAAAUUGCUACAUAUAUUAGGACUUUCAACAUAAUUCAAAUAAGAAAUUUUUUAAUUAUAAUUAAAAUUUCAUUUGAUUUUAAAUUAUUAAUUUUUUUAAAAAAAUAAAUAAAUAGCAAUUUUCAAAAACAUUCAGAAAGAAAAUCUUUUACUUGAUUAGUUGAUUCCAAAAUGCUACAUAUUAGGAGUUUCAGUAUAAUUUAAAUAAGAAAAAGUUUACUAAUAAUUAAAAUUUUAGUUGAUUUUAAAUUAUUAAAAUUUUUUUAAAAAAUAAAUGACAAUUUUAAACAUCUUAACAACAUAAAUAGUACCACUAUAAAUGAAACAACCCAUAAAUUGAUAAGUAAGAAGUAGAAAAAGAAUAAUAAUGGUAAGUGAUACUAUAUUGUGUUAACACAAAAUUACUUCUUCACUAAAAGAAAAUUAUAAUUUAGAUAAGUUACUCAUUAAAAUUAUGUUUGUUCUCAGGACUUCUAAUCAAAGUAAGGUCAUCUAUUCUCUUUUAUAAUUCAUGUAUGUAUUGGUAAUGAAUAGAGAUUUUUCACAAAAACAAUAUACAUAUUAUACUAAAAUAAAAUAAUAUACAUCAUAUUAGUUAUUCAGUGCUAUAUUUUGAAGAGCUGGUGGGAUGGGGGACAGAGCCACAUAGGAAUGUUUGAACAAUUUAGUGAUGCAUGCAUAGGAUGUUGAAAUAUUUUCUUUAUAUCUAAAGCUUUUCUCCUAACUAUUUUUUUAUCAUUGCCAUUUUAGAGGCAAAUGCUAUGCAUUAUCCUAUGACUGUUAUGGUCCCUAACUAUAUAUCCCACCUGCUCCAUCCCAAUCUUGUCUAGCUAUGAAACUCUCACCAGUAUUAAGUUUUCAGGUGCUGGUUGAUGAGCUAGGUUUUAAUUAGAUAAUAAUAUUCAUGAGGUCUUAAUUCACGAAUAAAGGCUUAUAAUGAGCUAAAUUUUAGUAAGAAAAUAAUAUAAGCUUUCACCCAUACCAUUAUGCAACAAGCAUUGGCCUUUGUAAGAUUGGUUAAACAAGAUCCUAAUAAUAAGAUGUUUUUUUAUCAAAAUGUGAGUUAAGACAAUAAUUCACAAUCAAAAUAGAAGCUGUGAAGACUGAUUAUAGAGAAUGAAGCUUAGCCAUCUUUAAUAAUUAGUUCAUACUUCUUAAUAAAACUUAAAACAAUAGAUCUUACGAGAUCAUGCCAAAUACCAAAUCUUUCAUCAGAAUCUAACACAAAAAUAAAAUAAAAUAAGCAUAGAUGCAAAUUUAUAUGAACUAUUGUAUAUUUUUGAGUCCAUCAAACUUUUUACUUUUCAGAUUUGACUCUAGGACCUUUCACAUUGAUGAUGAUGGAUGUGUUGGUUUUCAAAUAAACCUCAGUACUCUCAAUGCCAAGGAAAUUGUUGUCAUCAUAAAAAUCACCAAAUAAAAUAUGAUUUCCUACGUGAAAACUGAAGUCACUGCAUCAAUAGAAGGAGAUGUGGCGGCAAAUGGUCCAUAUAAACCCUUGUUUGUAACAUAUUUUAUAGAUUUUAGAAUUGUAAAAGGACCGCUUGAUGUUUCAAAAGAACCACUUAUGAAAGUAAAAAAUUCUAAUAAAUAAUCAAAUACAAACAAGAGUUUAGACGGUAAUUAAAAUUACCAUGACGUUGGGACAUAAGUAAGGUACCAUUCUUGUAAAAUAGGAAUUGAAUUGAAUAAAUUGCCCAUAGGCUGUAGAAAAAAAAAUACCAGCAACUUGGUCUCAUCCAUUUUUAUCUCAUAAGGUUCCUCAAAACUUCCCAACAUUCAUCUACCACCUGUAAAGUAUAACAAAACGAUAUAAUAAUAGAGAUAUCAAAACAAUACAAUUAAACCUAACUUUAACCUCCCCAAAACCCUCAAAGUCUAAGGACAUUCAUCUACCACCUGUAAACUUUCAUAGAAUAAUACAAUAAUAAAGAUAUCAAAACAAUACAAUUAAACCUAAUCUUUACCUAAAAAAGUUUCUCAAAGUCAACUGACAUUUAUCUACCACCUGUAAACUACAUAAAACUAUACGAUAAUAGAAAUAUCAAAACAAUAUAACUAAACCUAAUAUUUCCAAAGGCGCAAGUCGAGCAAUGUAUCUGAACUGAAAUAUAAAAAAAUGUGGAAAAGUAUCAAAAAAUUAAACCUAACCUUUACACUAACAAAAUAAUAAGAUAACAGAGAUAUCACAAAAUUAAAAAUAACCUUUACACUAAUCUUAAAGUCAACUGACAUUCAUCUACCAUAUGUAAACUACUAUAAAACAAUAGAUAAUAGAGAUAUCAAAAUAAUACAAUUAAACCUAAUUUUUUCAUAAAAAUUUCAUCAAAGCCAACAGACAUUCAUCUACCGCUUGUAAACUGCAAUAAAACAAUACGAGAAUAGAGUUAUAAAAAAAACUAAACCUAACUUUUACACUAACCUCAAAACCGAUCAGGAUGCAUCUACCACCUGUAAACUAUAAUAAAAUAAUAAAAUAAUAGAGAUAUCAAAAUAAUAAAAUUAAAUCUAAUCUUUAUACAAAAAUUUAUUCAAAUUGAUUGACAUUCAUCUACCACCUGUAAACUACAACAAAACAAUACGAUAAUAGAGCUAUCAAAACAAUAAAACUAAACCUGAUAAGUUCCUUCGCAAAAACUAUUAAAUUCAUAGCUGCAGUUAGUGCUCAAAGUUGCAACGUAGAUUAUAUAUAUACCCACUAAAUUAUACAAACUUCCAAAAACUAUUAAUUCAGGGGUCUUUUUUUUUUUCCUUUUAUAUCAUGAAGUAAUUUUGGUAAAAAGAACAAAUCCUAAAAUUCUUUUAUUUGCAUCUUGUUUUAUUUAGGAGAGAAUCUUAAUACAAAGCAAAGUUAGCCUAAUUAGAUUUUUUUUUUUCAAUUUAAAGUUUUUUACGUCUUACUUUUAUUAGGAGGAAGUCCUCCUAAUACAAAAAAAAAAAUCACGUCUAAUUUGAUUUUUCUUUUUUUUGGGUCAAUUUGAGGUUUUCGUUUAUUAGAUUUAGGACUUUUUUAUUUUAAAUAUUACAAAUAUAAUGAUAUAAUAAUUGAAGAAAAUAAGUAAAAAGAUAAUUUUGUCUAUUGCAAAAACUUUUAAUGAAGGACAAAAAAUUCAAAUAACUUUUCUAAGGUUCACACUUUUAAUAUAGACAGACAGACAGAUAGUAGACAGACAGACAGACAGACAGACAGACAGAGAGAAAGAUUAUAAAUUAUAGAUUAUAGAUAUAGGACUAUAGAAAGAGAUUACCAUGUAUAGGAGUUUGCAACGUGAUUUUAAAUAAAUAUUUAAUAUAGAACUUUGCAAAAAUCUUUGUAAUUUAGGAUAUUUUUGGACGUUAUAGUUACCUACCUGAAAUAGAAUAGGACUUUGUAAUGUAAAUAACGAUGUAAUAUAGGAUUUUGUAAUUUAAAUUAAUAUUUAAUAUCAUAAAAGUGGAAAAGACAAUUUUGUUUAAAAUGAAGAUUUUUAAUGAAUGGCAAAAAAGACAAGCACCAAUUAUAAGGGCCUUCGCACUUUUAAGUUUAAUAUAAUAGAGAUCUUGGUUCCAAGUUCCCAUAAGUUACAUCUCAAUAUUUUCUAGAAAAUGACUUUCCUUAACUCAUGAGGGAAGUCAUUUUCUUUCAAAUGGAGAAAAAUGAGUUCCUUUGAAAAAUAUUUUCCCAAAGUUUUAUUACAACCAAAAUAGGAAAUUCAUCAUACCAAACACACCUUUAAUACUUUCAGCCUCAUCUUAUAUCAUUCUUUUCUUUUUAUCUAGUUUCAAAAAUAAUAUCACUUUAGAAUAAUUAAAAUUUUAAUUUUAAUUUUUUUUUUACCUUCUUUGAUAAUUUGUAUAUUUAUCUUUUUAUAUUCUAAAUCUCCUUAGUAAACAUCAAAAUAGAAAUACUAUGAUAAAAGAAUCAUAUAAUAAUUAUUUUUUAAUAUAUAUAUCUAGUUAAGAUGUGACAAGUAAAAAUAAAGAAAAAGAAUAUAAAUUUUAAACAUGUCAACUAUAUUUUGAAACUGCCAAAGUAUCUAUAUUUACAUUUAUUUCAUUAGAAAAUCAAUAAUCUCAUUUUGAAACUAAACACAUGCAUUUAUGUUAAAGGUCAGUCAUUCAUUCAACUUUAAACUUUAAACUUUAAACUCUUCCUACAGUUUUAUUACUUCUAAUCAUUAUAAGUUAUCUCACUCUUUGAAAAAUAAAUUAGAACUAACUAAUACUUAAUAAUAAAGAUAAAAGAGGAUCAAAAAAUAGCAAAACAUUUCUUAUUUUUAAAAUAGAAUAAGUAAAAAUGAAUAUCUAUUUUUAAUAUAGUGUAUAAGAAAAAGCAAACGAAAGGAGUAUUUGUUUUUCUCCUCUUAGAGGUCUUUCCGUAGAAGGGAUGGGACAAGGAAGGAUAUCUCAUAAGGUAGGAAAUCUCAUGAAACUAUUUUUUUCCUCCCUUUCGGUGAGAUAGUUAUCCUAUCAUUUUAGUGUAAAUGGUGGGAUAAACUAGCCCCAUGAUUAAGAAAUUUCUUCUAUCAUAUAUGAGAUAAAGUUGAUCCCAACUGUUAUUUCAAAAUUAUUUUUCUUAUCCCUUCUACUAAACGACCCCUUAAUCUUAUCUCAAAAUCUUGGGAGGAUUUUACAAUUUUAUACUCUCUUCAUUUCAUUAUAUUUGAUCAAAAUAUUAAAGAUGAUUUUUUUUUUUACUUGUUGAUUUUAACAAAUUAAAAAAAUCAAAAAGUUCUUUAAUUUUCUUACAAUACUAUCCUUGAUAUUAAAUAAGGGUAACUUACAUAAAUCCCUGAAUCUUUAAGUGAUAUUACAUUUUAUCCCAACUAUUUGGUUAAUUAUAUCUUAUCCCGAUUUUUUGAAAUCGUAAUACAUAUGUUAUAGGUGAUACAUCUAAAAAGUGAUACAUUUAAAACUGACUAGAUAUUUAUUUAAGAAAGUAACAGAUUAUCUUUUAUUCUAUGGAACAAAUCACGCACAAUCAGUUACACAAUGAAUUAAUGGGAUUUACAAAAUCAGCACUACCCCAAUCAACUUUCAAAUUUCAAACGAACAAAUCGAGCCGGAGAAAUGGAACACAACCGUAAAUGAGAUUUGAUGCACAAGAUUAUUUUAAAUGAUAAAAUUGAUGAUAGUGGUAUGAUUGUUAGCAAUUGUAUGCAUUAUAAUUCACAAGUGGAGGAUCAAAUUAAUAUUUCAAAGGAUUCUACAAUGCAAAUUGAGAAGUCCAAUCAUGGUAAUGUUGACACUGGUGUGGCGACUGUUUCAAUCAUUCACAAGGAGAUUCAUCCUAUUUCUGGGCAAUUACAUGAAGAAAUAAUGGUAAGACAUGAAAGGGGUGCUCAAGCCGCCUCUCCUAUGUCAAUUUCUAGCAGUGAAACGCCGGAGUUGCAGACUAGUAUGACCUCGUCGGCGGAAGUGAAUGAAGAAGAGAAGGAAGAGAAGAGGAAUUAUUAUUUGAAUACGUGAUACAUCUGAAAAUCUGAAUUAUUAUUUGGCGGCGGGGGAUUACUAUGUAAUACAUCUGAAAUAUGUGUGGUACAUUUAGUUGUAUUUCUAUGUUUUUUAUAUGAUUCAUAUUAAAUGUUUAUGAAAGUUCUGUGAUUAAUAUUAAUAUUGUCUGCAUUAGUUUAAAGAAGUUAUAUUAGUGAUACAUUUUUAUAGUUGAAAUAAAUGUAUGUAUCACCAAUAAACUGACAAUAAAUGUAUCACUCAUACAUUGUCAAUAUAAAUAUAUCAAUAAUAAUAUAACAACAAAAUGUAUCACUCCUACACUGUCAACGAAUGUAUCACUCAUAUACUGAUAACAAAAGUAUCAUUCAUAUGAAUCACCGUUACACUAUGAAAAUGUAUCCAAAAACUUAAUACUCCUAUUUUAUAUAUGUAUCAAUCUGAUUAACAAAAAAAUAUGUAUGACUUAUAUGUAUCACCAACGAAUUUCAUACUAGUAUUAACUUAAACAUGUAUGAAUAACUAAAUAAAUUUAUAUAUGUAUCAAUCAUUUUUUUUUUAAAAUGAGAGAGAUUUUAGAGGAAAUUGUGAAAAAAAAAAUAUGUGUAUAAUUUGAGAGAGAUUUUAGGAAAGGUAAUCUUUGAAAAAAAAUAUAUCUUACUGAGUUAAUGGUGGGGUAAAAAUAGGAUGCGGGGUUUUGUUGAUAUGUAUUAAGAGUAAAAUUGAAAAUCGAAAUUUAAUGUAAAUUUUUAAAAAGUAAAGGAAUGUUGGGUAAUAUAGUCUCUUAAGUUUGGGAUUUGUGUAAUCUAUCCAUAAACAUAUUUCUUUUCUAUAUAUUAGAAAUGAUGGUUUUGACAUGUUAGUUUAUGGGUAUUAAAACAAAGUUUUAGGAUACUAAGGUCUAUAAAAUAUUUUGCAAGAUUAGUUUGCUUAGGAAAAUUGUAUUUUGAGUUUUAAUGUUUGGACCUUAUCAACAACUAUAAGAACCAAGCAUGGUUAGCCUAGUGGUUAGUUCACUAGGUCGCUUAAGCAAGUCUCGGGGGUUCGAUUCCCACCUUGUGCAUGCAACAACCAAUUGGCCAGCGGUAAACUCUUAAAUGGAGCUCAGAUCCGCGGAGGAUUAGUCCUUGGCCUGUCGGGCUGGGGAUACCUUAGAAAACCAAAAAAGAAAAAAAAAACUACAAGAAAAAUCCAUCCAUUUUGAAUUAAUUACAACUCAUGUCAUUUCAAUAAAUUACCACUUUGCCAUUGAUGCUACUCUAUUGAAUAUGAUGGGGCCCAUAGACGAUUAUCUAUUCUCAUAUCUUCCAUAUGGGCCCAUAGAUGAUUAUCUAUUCUCAUUUCUUCCAUAUAAAACGUGAAAGGUAAGUGGUUUUGACAUAUGUGCUUCUGCAUGCUCCGUAAUUUUACUAUAUUAUUCUUAAUUAAUUAUUAUAAAUUAUUUAUAUAUUAAAAAAUUAAUAAUGUUUAAUUAAAAUAAAAUAAAUAUUUAUGACAUAUCUACUUUAAUCGUAAUUAUACUAUAUCAUCCCUAAUAAAUGAUUAUCAUCCCUAAUUAAUUAUUAUAUCACAUAUAAUUAAUUAUUAUAAUAUAUAUAUAUUAUUUUAUUUAUUAUUAUUUUUUCUAUAUAAUAGAACCAGUGCUUCAUCAAUUACUAUACUACCCUUACUUAUUCCGUGAUUUACUAUAUUAACCCUAAUUAAUUAUUAUAAUUUAUUUAUAUAUUAGAAUUAAUAAUAUUUUUUUAUUACAUUACCCCUAAUUAAUUAUUAUAAGUUAUUUAUAUAUUAGAAUUAAUAAUAUUUAAUUAAAAAAUAGAUAUUUAUAACGUUUGUUUCAACUGCUUUAAUCAUGGUUUUACUAUAUCAUCCCCAAUUAAUUAUUAUAAGUCAUUUAUGUGUGGUUUCAACUAGUGCUUCAUCAAUUAUUAUACUACCCCUAAUUAUUCCGUGAUUUACUAUAUUACCCCUAAUUAAUUAUUAUAAUUCAUUUAUAUAUUAGUAUUAAUAAUAUUUUUUUGUUAUAUUACCCCUAAUUAAUUAUUAUAAGUCAUUUAUAUGUUAGAAUUAAUAAUAUUUAAGUAAAAAAGUAGAUAUUUAUGACGUUUGUUUCUACUGCUUUAACCAUGAUUUUACGAUAUCAUCCCCAUUUAAUUAUUAUAAGUCAUUUAUGUAUUAAAAAUUAAUAAUAUUUAAUUACAAAAAUAGAUGACAUGUCUGCCUGUAUUAACCCUAAUUGCUCCGUGAUUUAUUAUAGUACCCCUACUUAAUUAUUGUAAGUCAUUUAUAUAUUAGAAUUAGUUAAUUAUUAUAACUCAUUUAUAUAUUAAAAUUAUUAAUAUUUAAUUAAAAAAUAUUUAUUUAUGAGGUUUGUUUCAGCAGCUUUAAUCGUGAUUUUACUAUAUCAUCCCAUUUAAUUAUUAUAACUCAUUUAUGUAUUAAAAAAUUAAUAAUAUUUAAUUAAAAAAAUAGAUGACAUGUCUGCCUAUAUUACCCCUAAUUGCUCCGUGAUUUAUUAUAUCACCCCUAAUUAAUUAUUAUAAGUCAUUUAUAUAUUAGAAUUAAUAAUAUUUUNNNNNNNNNNNNNNNNNNNNNNNNNNNNNNNNNNNNNNNNNNNNNNNNNNNNNNNNNNNNNNNNNNNNNNNNNNNNNNNNNNNNNNNNNNNNNNNNNNNNNNNNNNNNNNNNNNNNNNNNNNNNNNNNNNNNNNNNNNNNNNNNNNNNNNNNNNNNNNNNNNNNNNNNNNNNNNNNNNNNNNNNNNNNNNNNNNNNNNNNNNNNNNNNNNNNNNNNNNNNNNNNNNNNNNNNNNNNNNNNNNNNNNNNNNNNNNNNNNNNNNNNNNNNNNNNNNNNNNNNNNNNNNNNNNNNNNNNNNNNNNNNNNNNNNNNNNNGAGUUAAUAAUAUUUAAUUAAAAAAUAGAUAUUUAUGACGUUUGUUUCAGCUGCUUUAACCGUAAUUUUACUAUAUCAUCCCUAAUUAAUUAUUAUAAGUCAUUUAUGUAUUAAAAAUUAAUAAUAUUUAAUUAAAAAAAAUAGAUGAUAUGUCUGUUGCAGCUGCUUCAACCAUAAUUUUGCUAAAUAUCGCUUAUAAUUAAUUAAUAUGAGUCAUCUAAGUGUUACAAAUUUAAUCAUAUUUUAAAAAAAAUAAAAUAGACAUAAAAUGAUAAAUUAACUUUUGAUGUAUUAAAUUAAGUUGACCUCCUUCAACUGUGAUUUUACUGUAUCACCCCUAAUUAAUUAUUAUAAGUCAUUAUGUAUUAAUAAAUUCAUAAUAUUUAAUUAAAACAUUGGUUUCGUCAUGACUACUUCAAGAGGUGCGUCGUGAUUUUACUACAUCACCCCUAAUUAAUUAUUAUAAGUCAUUUAUGUAUUAAAAAAUUAAUAGUAUUUAAUUAAACUAGAAAAAUAUGUGUUUAUGACAUGUUUGUUGCAGCUGCUUCAACUAUAACCAUCUUUGAGAAGAUGAUCCAGGACUUUGUUGUUAAUUGAAGUAUCUUUUGUUCCAGUUUUUAUAUGAAAUAAUACUAUGAAUAUUAAUUCUACAUCUUUUCUAUAUUUUGUAACAGGUCUCAAUCUUAACAUCAAACAAUUAAAAUAACCUGACUACAUGAAACAUCACACUUUUUUAUCAUGUGGAAAAAAACUAUCUUAUAAAACUUCACUUCUUAGCAAGUACCGUCAAAUAGUUAUUAUUUAAAAAAUUAUCGUUUUAAAUCAAUGUACAUUUAUGUUUGUAUCUCAUCAAUAUAGAAUAUUAGUGCUAAAAAAUGUUUAUAGUGUUGGAUUCAUGCUGACACGGGCCAUGCACCUCUAGUAAAAUAAUAUGGACGAAAGUCUUAUUGGUUUUCGAGUUUCCCUUAUUGAGGAAGAUAAAAGGGUUGGGCCGACCCAAAAUUGGAUCGGAUCAAACCAAUUUCAACCCUGACUAGACUAAAAACUAGUCUAACCUGGUAGUGCCAUGUCAUUCCUUGACCACUUACCAACCCAAUUUAAUGGACAAUUUUUUUUAAGUAUUAAAUACUUAAAAUAACUUAAUUUUAAUCAAGUUAAAACAAUAUUACUCCCUUGAUUUUAGUUGAUUUAAUUUGUCUUAUUUUGACUUAAUACGAGGUUUAAGAUAGUAAAGAAGAUUUUUGAAUCAUAUGAUCUUAAUAUCAAAAUAUCUUUUAACCUUAUGAUUUUAAACAUAUUAUGUUAAAAAUUAAAAUUAAAGAAUUAUCAAAAAGAAAAAGAGACAUGAAUCAACUAACUAAACGGUUGGAGAACCAAGUCAUCUUUCUUACCAAACACAAAUAUAGACAAAUCAAACCACUACUAACUAAUUAUAUCAAAAUCAAAAUGAAAGUGCGGAAGUAUCUCUAUUAUUACAAUUCUCGAAAUUUGAAAAUCAUCGUACAAGAACUCUAAAGCUAUUCAAAUCAAGGUCUAACAUCAUCCAAAAUGCUAAAUAAAAAUGAAUGUCGUGUCCCAAAACAAAGGACAUGAAUAAGAUAAAUAUGAUCCAAUGACUAUCCAGACUUGGUACUCACCCUUAAAUCGAUACUGGAGUCAUGAAUUAGAGCCAGAUCUCAUCUCAAACGCUGAAACAUGCUUUGCACUCAAUAAAAGAAGAGCACAGGUAGUAUUAGUACAAUAACUAGGUACUGAAGUUUUGUAGGCAUUAUCGACCGAUUUAACUCAACACCGUACAAAUAGGCAAGUGAAAUAUAAAUAAAAAAUGAUCAAGACACGACUCACAAUUAGGUGAUAAUCAAAUGUACAAUCAUAACAAUUCAACUCACCCAUCAGUAGCCAUUUUCUUCAUACAACAAGAGUACAAGUAUAAAAAUAUAUCCGUUACACGUACGUAGAUUUAUCCAAUAAUAGUAAACACAAUGUACAUACAAAUGUAAUGAUGAUUGCAAGCAUGCAAGAUAUACACACAUACUAAGGUCAUCAGUGACCCUCAAUUAUGACCUGCAAAGGACGAGCUCAGUCUAUAUAUCAGUAUCAUAAUGGUAUCAAAUCCAAUAACAACGUCGGCGUGAUAUUCAACCCAAACAACAGUAUCGGCGUGACACUUCAUUUAAAAAAUAGUGUCGACGUGACAUCCGAUCCAAUAUCAUCUCAACAUAUAUAUAAUCUCAAGACCAAAUGCUCAAUAAAUGAUAAAAAGUCAACAAUUACAAGCAAUGCCCAAAAGCUAAUCAUAUACAUUCAGAUUACGUAUGAGCACAGGGUCAAAUCAAGUCUAUACUACCAUUAAAUCAUAGCCUACCACAAUUUCUUGCCCGAAAAAUACUAUUUGAACAUAGUUUUACCUUUUCUCUUGAUUUAUAUUCAUUCUUGAUCUACAAACAAUAAUUACACGUGUUUCAACGCAACAAUCUACACUACUAAGCAUUAUAAACUCAUAUCUGUCAGUUUCAAUCUAUGACUUUGUUGCGUUCGAAAUCGAGAUGGCGUCAUGCGGAAGCUUAAAGUUUGCGAAUCUUGAGAUGAUAAGCCAGACAACAAAGAAAACAAUACUAAAAACAUAAUAUUAUUAUAUGAUUUGGCCAAUCGGCAUACAUAUAAAACCUAAUAUUAAAAAAUAUUAAACCUAUUGGGAGAAAUCUCCCCCUAAACCAGACUCUUUGAUGACUAUAUUGUGAAUGUUAUUGUGUUAUGGUAUGAGAAGCGGGAUCUUCUAUUUAUAGAUGUCCAAAACUUUUCCUCUAAGAAAGAGGUUAGCCAAAUAUGGAAAAGAAUUAUAUUUUCCUUUUAGGAGAAAUAAAAGUAAUUAUGGUUACUUUAGUUUCCUUUCAAGAAAAAGUAAAACUUAAAUUUGGUAAAAAAAAAUCAGGACAAAAACCCUAACAGACUUGACCUAGUUCAUCAUUUUAAGGUUUUCUACUUUUUGUUCCCCUUGAAUUCUUCGUAUUUUAAGUUUACAAAAGCAAAUCAUAUCACAAGAAGUGUUUUCUAACAUCCUAGAAUCAAUAACUACUUAAUCACACUCGUUCUUUACUAACUUUCAUCAAUUGAUAAACUCAGGGCUAAAUGUCAAUUUCAACCAACGCUAUGAUUCUUUCAAUCCUAAGAAUCUAAGGUAGUAAUUUUUAGUUUGAAGAGUAAAGAAUCUUACCUCAACGAUGGAAAACCUCUAAAUUGGUGCAAAAUAGCCUUAACAUAGACCUGGAACGAGUUCUUGAAAUAAAAGGGAAUGAAAUGUUUUUUUUUUUCUAAAUUAAACUGUUUUUCUAAACUUUUUGUCGUUGUAGCGAUGGAUCUGUCGCUGCAGCGGAUACCAAGGCUAAAUUGUCUAUCGUUGCGACAACGCUUCUAUUGUUGUGGCGACAAUUCUGAAUUGUUGGGUCAUGGGCCUUUGUCCCUUCCUAUGUGGAUAAAAUGAAGUCCAAUUUGGAUCAAUCCACUUUUGCCCAUAGGCCCAUUACUAUGAGGCAUAUAUAUUGAUCUUUUUAGGUCUUAUACACCAUCACAAAAAAAACAGAGUUUUCAGCAGCCAAAGAGGAAAAACGAAAGCAGAUUUUCGCACCUAAAUUUCAGCCACAGUUGUCAACUUCAAAUUGCGAUUCCCGUUUCGUUUCUUGUUAGAUUGAGCUGAUUUUUGGACUACUUAUUUCUCUCAUCUAAAUAUUUGAUAAGAAACUAACGGAGCUUGAUUUGGUGGCCUGUAGCUCCUGUUCUUCAUUCCCGAAUAGUAGCUGCAUUUUUUGUGCUUUCACUCCUUUAUUUCUCUAGUGUUUGGUGCUGUGGUUUAUGUAUUGUUGCUUGUUGUUUGUCACUUGUUUGGUGGCGAUUUUGGAGGACAAUAUUGUAACUCUUUGGUGAUUAUAGUGGAGGCUUUGGUCCCGUGAUUUUUUACUCUUCACACUGAAGGGUUUUCCACGUAAAUCUUGUGUCUCGUGUGAUUACCUUUAUUCUUGUGUUGUUUCAUUUGGUUGAGUUGUUUGUUGUAUAUUACUCUAUUUUUUUGGGUUUAUUUUUCUCCUCUUGGUUCAAGUUGAAAGGAAAAGUUUAGUCUUGGGUAUUUUCUGCUGCUAUCCUGUCGGGCUCUUUGAUUAUGUGCCCGUCUUUCCUAAAACGUAGUAUCAGAUCAUUGGUUGUUGUUGAUUGUCAUUUUGAAUGAUGGAGGCAAAUAUGAUCAAGAUGGUGUGUUUGAAUGGUAGUAACUAUCAUACUUGGAAAGGCAAGAUGAAAGGUCUUCUAUUUGUUAAGAAAAUGCAUCUACCUGUGUUUGCAUCUACUAAACCUGAAUCCAUGACAGAUGAGGAUUGGGAAUUUGAGCACUUACAGGUUUGUGGCUAUAUCAUACAAUGGGUUGAAGAUAAUGUUAGAAAUCAUAUUGUGAAUGAGACACAUGCUAGAAGUUUGUGGGACAAGCUCGAGACACUUUAUGCUUCUAAAACUGGCAAUAACAAGUUGUUCCUGCUUAAGCAAUUUAUGAAUAUUAGGUAUAAAGAGGGCAGUCCUAUUUCUAAUCAUAUUAAUGAUUUUCAGGGUGUCCUUGACCAGCUGUCCGGAAUGGGUAUAAAGUUUGAUGAAGAAAUUCAGGGACUUUGGCUUCUUAAUACUCUGCCUGACUCUUGGAAAAAUCUUCGAGUUUCUUUGACUAAUUCUGCUCCUAGUGGUAUUGUAACUAUGGAAUAUAUUAAGAGUGGUGUCUUGAAUGAAGAGAUGAGAAGAAGAUCUCAAGCCUCAUCUUCUUCAUCUUCACACUCUGAUGUAUGGGUUACUAAAGAGAGGGGGAGAAACAAGUCCAGAGAUUCAAAUAAUAGAGAUAAAAGUAGAAGCAAGUCAAGGUCCAAAUUCAAGAAUGUUACAUGUGACUAUUGCAACAAAAAGGGGCAUAUCAUGAAAUAUUAUUACAAGCAUAAGAGAGAUAUAAGACGGUAAAAGAAAGAAGGCGAUAAUGAAAAUUGGGUUGCUGUUGUUGCUAAUGAUGAUCUUCUUGUUGCUUGUGGUGAGAAUGUCAUUAAUCUUGUUCGCGAUGAGUCUAGCUGGUUUGUGGAUUCUGGUGCUACUUCUCAUGUUACGCCAAAGAAGGAAUUAUUUUCUUCUUGUACUCUAGGUAAUUUUGAGAUAUUGAAAAUGGGCAAUAAUGUUAAAGUUAAAGUACUUGGCAUUGGCACGAUUUUUUUGGAAAGUAACAAUGGUUCCAAACUAGUUCUCAAUAAUGUCAAGCAUGCUCCAGAUGUUCGCCUGNNNNNNNNNNNNNNNNNNNNNNNNNNNNNNNNNNNNNNNNNNNNNNNNNNNNNNNNNNNNNNNNNNNNNNNNNNNNNNNNNNNNNNNNNNNNNNNNNNNNNNNNNNNNNNNNNNNNNNNNNNNNNNNNNNNNNNNNNNNNNNNNNNNNNNNNNNNNNGUGGAGAAUGAUACUUCAUCAGAGUUGUGGCAUAGAAGGUUGAGUCAUAUGAGUGAGAAGGGGAUUGAUAGUUUGGCUAAGAAAAAUUUACUUUCUGGAGUAAAACAAGCAAAGUUGAAGUGUGUUCAUUGCUUAGCCAGUAAACAGAAAAGAGUUUCUUUUCAGAGUCAUCCGCCUUAAAGAAAGCUCAAUUUGCUGGAGUUGGUGCAUUCUGAUUUGUGCGGUCCUUUUAAAGUAAGGUCUCAUGGUGGUGCACUUUACUUUGUGACUUUUAUUGAUGAUCAUUCUCGCAAAUUCUGGGUAUUUCUUUUGAAGUCUAAGGAUCAAGUAUUUGAUGUGUUCAAGAAUUUUCAGGCCUUGGUUGAAAGACAGACAAGGAAGAAAUUAAAAUACAUCCGUUCAGAUAAUGGUGGUGAGUAUAUUGGUCCUUUUGAUAGAUAUUGCAGAGAGUAGGGUAUUCAGUAUCAGAAAACUCCUCCAAAGACUCCUCAGUUGAUGGCUUAGCAGAGAGGAUGAAUAGAACACUAGUUGAGAGGGUUAGAUGUAUGCUUUCAGAUGCUAAGCUGUCAGAUUCCUUUUGGACAGAAGCACUUAAAACGGAUGUUUAUGUUAUCAAUUUAUCUCCUACUGUUGCUUUGAAUGGUGAUGUCCUUGAAAGAGUUUGGUCUGGUAAGAAUGUUUCUUAUGAUCAUCUUAGAGUUUUUGGGUGUAAAUCUUCUGUUCAUGUUCCUAAGGAUGAAAGGUCAAAGUUGGAUGUUAAAACUAGACAGUGUAUCUUCAUUGGUUAUGGUCAAGAUAAAUUUGGCUAUCAUUUCUAUGAUUCAGUUGAGAAGAAACUUGUUAGAAGCCGUGAUGUUGUGUUCUUUGAAGACCAAACAAUUGAAGAUUUUGGCAAAGAUGAGAAGGUUGAUUCUCAGAGUAGUGAGAGCCUAGUUGAUGGUGAUCCGGUUCCUUUGACUACUGCUCCUGAAGAAAAUCUUCAUGAUGAUGAAAAUCAAGUUGAUAAUGAAGAUGAUAAUCAUGUUCAGAAUGACCAGCAAGAAGUUGUUGAUGCUUCAGUGUAAGUUGAUAUGGUUGAUCAACAUCCAGUUGUUGAUGUUCUAGAGAGUUCUCUCAGACAAUCUACAAGAGAGAGAAUACCUUCAUCUCGUUAUUCUUCCAGUGAGUAUGUACUCUUGACUGACGGGGUAGAACUUGAGAGUCUUGAUGAGGCCAUGGAAAGUGAAGAAAAAGAAAAGUGGUUUGAUGCUAUGGAAGAUGAAAUUAAAUCUUUGNNNNNNNNNNNNNNNNNNNNNNNNNNNNNNNNNNNNNNNNNNNNNNNNNNNNNNNNNNNNNNNNNNNNNNNNNNNNNNNNNNNNNNNNNNNNNNNNNNNNNNNNNNNNNNNNNNNNNNNNNNNNNNNNNNNNNNNNNNNNNNNNNNNNNNNNNNNNNNNNNNNNNNNNNNNNNNNNNNNNNNNNNNNNNNNNNNNNNNNNNNNNNNNNNNNNNNNNNNNNNNNNNNNNNNNNNNNNNNNNNNNNNNNNNNNNNNNNNNNNNNNNCUUUUCUCCAUGGUGACUUAGAUGAAGAGAUUUAUAUGGAGCAACCCAAAGGUUUUGAAGUCAAGAGAAAAGAGAAUUAUUUUUGCAAAUUGAAGAAGAGCUUGUAUGGUUUGAAACAAGCUCCUAGGCAGUGGUACAUGAAGUUUGGUUCCUUUAUGAGUCAGCAGAGCUUCAAGAAAAUUACUUCAGACUAUUGUGUUUUUGUACAAAAUUCUCUAAUGGUGACUUUAUUAUUGUGUUGCUUUAUAUUGAUGACAUGCUUUUUGUUGGUCAUAAUGCUUGCAGGAUUCAAAAGUUGAAGCAAGAGUUGAGUAAGUCUUUUUCUAUGAAAGACUUAGGACCAGCAAAGCAGAUUCGUGGCAUGCAGAUUGUCCGUGAUAGAAAGGCCAAGAAGUUAUGGUUAUCAUAAAAGAAGUACAUUCAGAAAGUACUUCGAAGGUUUAACAUGGACAAGGCUAAGGUUGUCAGUACACCUUUAGCUAUGCACUUUAAGUUGAGCACGAAGCAGUGUCCUUCCAGUGAUGAUGAGAAGGAAGAUAUGAAGAAAGUUCCUUAUGCUUCAGCUAUUGGUAGUUUGAUGUAUGCAAUGGUUUGCACAAGAUUGGAUAUUUCUCAUGCCGUUGGUGUUGUUAGUCUUUUUCCUUCUAAUCCGGGAAGAGAACAUUAGAAUACUGUGAAGUAGAUAUCUUUGUGGAAUUUCUAGUCUGAGUUUAUGUUUUGGUACAGGGAAGCCUAGUCUUUGUGGUUAUACUGAUUCAUAUAUGGCCGGUGAUGUUGAUACUCGCAAGUCUACUUCAAGGUAUUUGGUUACUUUUGCAGGGGGAGCUCUGUCUUGACAAUCUAGGUUGCAAAAAUGUAUUGCUCUAUCUACUAUAGAAGCUGAGCUUAUUGUUGUCGUUGAAGCUUGUAAAGAAUUGCUUUGGAUGAAGAGAUUCUUGGGGGAACUUGGUUGUGCUCAAGAGAGGUAUGUGCUUCAUUGCGACAGUCAAAGUGCCAUACAUCUUGGCAAGAAUUCUACAUUUCAUGGUCGGUCUAAACACAUUGAUGUGAGAUACCAUUGGAUUCGGGAUGUGUUGGAUUCUAAGUUGCUUGAACUUGAGAAGAUUCAUACGGAUGAUAAUGGUUCCGACAUUAUGAAUAAAGCUUUUCCAAGAGGGAAGUUUGAAGAUUGUUGCAUGAUCGCCGGGAUGGAGAUCUCCUCCAUAUAGUCGGGAGGGGGAGAAUUGUUGGGUCAUGGGCCUUUGUUCCUUCCUAUGUGGAUAAAAUGAAGCCCAAUUUGGACCAACCCACUUUUGCCCAUAGGCCCAUUACUAUGGGACAUAUAUAUUGAUCUUUUUAGGUCUUAUUCACCAUCACAAAAAAGAGAGUUUUCAGCAGCCAAAGAGGAAAAAAAAAGCUGAUUUUCGCACCUAAAUUUCAGCCACAGCUGUCAACUUCAAAUUGCGAUUCCUGCUUCGUUUCUUGUCCGAUUGAGAUGAUUUUUGGAAUGCUUUUUUGUAUUAUCUCAAUAUUUGAUUAGGAACUGACGGAGCUUGAUUUGGUGGCCUGUAUCUCUUGUUCUUCAUUUUCAAACAGUAGCUGCAUUUUUUGUACUUUCACUCCUUUAUUACUCUAGUGUUUGGUGCUGUGGUUUAUGUAUUGUUGCUUAUUGUUUGGUGUCCAUUUUGGAGGAAAAUAUUGUAACUCUUUGGUGAUUAUAGUGGAGGUUUUGGUCUCGUGAUUUUUUACUCUUCACACUGAAGGGCUUUCCACGUAAAUUUUGUGUCUCGUGUGAUUGCCUUUAUUAUUGUCUUGUUUCAUUUGGUUGAGUUGUUUGUUGUAUAUUACUCUAUUUUGCUUGGGUUUAUUUGUCUCCUCUUGGUUCAAGUUGAAAGGGAAAGUUUAGUCUUGGGUAUUUUCCGCUGCUACCCUGUCGGGCUCUUUGAUUGUGUGCCCGUCUUUCCUAACAAUUCUAUCGCUGAAAGUGACAAUAAACUAGUAGCUCGGGAUCCGAUCCUUGCUCUUGCCAUUCUACAACACACUUCUCGAUUCUCGAUAUUACGAAUUGAUCCAUACACUGUAAUUGCUAUGAAUAGAGUUCUACCAAUUUAUUUUACGUAUGAAAAGUCUCUACGACUUUCUAAACUUGUCAUCUAACACAAAAUCCGCUCGAAAUCACAAUUCUCACUCUAAUAACUCUCAAAGUUUCCUAGACCACUACACACUCAAAAUAUGUUUAAACUACGUGGGCCCCGAAUUUAAAAAAAGAUUAUCUACAAAAGAACUAAACUGAGGUUGUACUCUCUGUUUCAGCGCAACAACAUUUUGGAUCGUUACAAAAAGGCACAUAGUUUCUUUAACAGACUAAAACGAAAAGUAAGAUAAAAAAUUAAAAUGAACAGAGUGUUUUUAAUAUAAAAUCAGUUCAGUCUUGUAGAGUCUUUAUUAGCCUGAUUAAAAUAGGACACCCCCAAACUAAUAACAACCCAAACCCCAUGUUGUUGUUGCCAGUCUGUCGGAAUAAGCAAGUAGGAUUAAAAUCUUCACAUUUAAAGAUUUCAGAUCAAAAGACUGCUUUAAUCUCCCAAAUAUAUUCCAUAGAGAAACUAAAAUAGAGGAUCGUCUACUGCACAUUUGCUGAGAUAACUAAUAGACGAUCUAAGAAGCAAUCAUUUUUAUUCAACAAUGCUUCAUAAUUACAACUAGUUUAAUAAAAACAAAUUAAAGCACUUUCCAUCCUCUAAUUGAAAGAACUUUCAUGUUGAGAAACUUUUAUUUAUUUGUACUUGCAUUUUUCAUAAGCUGCCAAAUCACAACAAAGACAUAAUUAAAAAGCUAAUAUACGAUUUUCUUGAUAGAAUUAAGAAAAUUGAAUUUAAAUUUUGAAUAUCGUGAGAGUAACUUACAUAUUUCAUGCCGAUACCCGCCAGACAUGUACCAGUUUUACGGUUAAGCAUAUAGGAAGCAUGGCUUCUUAAUGUAGGAGGAAAGAAGCAAGGCCUUCCAGGCUGGCAUUCCCGUGAUCACAUAUUUUAUCCAUAAAGGCUGAUAAUUGCAGAUCAGGUGCUGCAGGAUCUGCUAUACACCAAUCUUUUUCUUCAUCUCCCUGUAAUAUUUAUUUAUUUAUUUAUUUUCAACAACCAAUAAUACAAAUGAAGAUAGAAUCCUAUCAUUGGGAUGAAUUUAAAAUAAUCACUGAUAUAUUUUAGUCCUUAAUUUAAUUUUAUAAAAAAAUGGUAAUUGUUUAAUAUUUUUAUAUUUAUUGUCGUUAGACCUAACGAACACUAUAAGUAAAACAUCAACCAUAAACACGAAAUUUUAUUCAGACAUUUAAUUUAAAUCUUUUAAGUUGUAUUUUUCUCUCAUAAAUAUGAUAAUCUGAAGUUGUAUUUUAUUCUGUUAUAUAUUUAAAAAUUACGUAAAAUAUACUAUAAAUCAUAAUAAUUAAUAACUUAAAAUAUUUAAAAGAUAUAAAAGAUUUAACUGACUCUCAAAAUUUUCAAUGCCCAUUAAAUUAGAAUAGAAGAAAAAGUAUUUCUCUCUUUGUCCAUCUUUACUUGUCCACAUAACUGAUACUCUUAAAGUACUUCUCCCUUCAUCAAUCUUUAUUUGUCCACAUAACUGGGUACUCUUAAUUACUUUUUUGUAAUUAUUUUAUGAGAAAACUAUUUUAAUGCAGUCUAAUGACCCAACUUUGAAUGAUUUUCUCUUUUUUAUAUUUUGAUCAUUUUAUUCCUCUUCGUGGUUGUGCUAUCUGGUUAAUGGGUUGCAAGAAUGGUUGGUAUGGUUUCCAAGGCCUGCGGAAAGGUUUUGGGUGAGUUUGAGGUCGUUUUGAGGCUUUAAGAGCUAACAAUUGACUUUGAUCAACAUAUCGAUAUCCGAGUGCCGGAUGACAAAAUAGACUGCGCCAGCUGAUCCAAAAUAUCAAAUUUGGAUUAGUAGUAGGAUUGAUUCGGUUUUAUGACUUUUAGAUCCCAUUUCGAUCUUUCGUUCAGAUAUAGUGUAAAUAGAGUCUCGAGGGUCAAUUUUGUGAUAAUGAAAUAUAUUUUAUAAUUAAUUUACACUAUUGGAUCAUGUUCAUAGGAUUCUGGAUGAGUUCAGAGGGUCAAAAACAAGUUUUGAAGGUUGUUCGUAUGGCUGCUAAAGCGGUUGGUUGACCGCUUUAGCGUUCGUUGACUGUUUGACCGACUGCUAAAGCGCUUUUUUUGCUGAUAAAACUUGAAAAUAAUUUUCUUUGAUUUGAACUGCGUUUUUAACUCAUUUUUGCAUGAGUUUUCAGUUGUAGACUCCUAUGUAUGGGGAACGUAUUUCUAAAUCAAAAUUACAAUUUUACCUCUUUCAUUUCCGAACUUAUUAUUGGGGUUUGUUUUAGACCCGUUUUGUAUAUAGUCAAUAUGGUAUCGUUGGCUUACUUUUGAUGUGUAGAUAUCAUAUUUGAUAGUUUGAUCGUGGUUGGAGAUGUUUCGAAAGAUUUGAGCUUCCUGUUGGGGAUUUAUGCAGUGUUUAGAAUCGUGGAUCUUUGGUUAAGGCAAGUUGAGAUGUUCCUUGAUCUUUCAAAGUGUUUAUAUGUUAUUUGCUUGAUUGUCAGUAUGUUGUGAUUCGUUUAGGUUGGGGGUCCAUCUUAGAUUACAUGACGCGCAUCUUUGUGGGUACCGGAGUCUUAAUAAUGGGUUGUAGUUAGUUUAUUACCUUAAUUAGUUAGUAUUAUUGCCUGUAGAUAACCUUAGAAUAGAUUGUAGUUAAUAACUCAGGUUUGGACUAUUAUUAUUUUUGAAUGCUUACUUUGGGACUUUAGAACUUGUAUAGCGGUUGUUAUUGUGAUGAUUGGGAUUUAGAGAACUCUAGGAGACAAUUAUGUUUUACUGAAAUGAUAGAAUGAUCGAACCUUAGAUAAUGCCUAGAUUAUAAAUAGGCUCGUAUUGGUUGUUUAGGCUUAAUGUAUAAACGAGCUAGGCUUAGUUAGUAUCAUGAUAUUUUGUUAUUGGGAUUUGUAUGUUUCAGUGUUGCCAUGUGAAACUUAUGUGAAAUAUCUAUGGACAUGAGUAAUUAAUUAGGUUCGUAUUCCUAUAUGGAAGCUUAUUCAUCUAUUAAUAUUGUUGUGACACCAUGUGGGGGCUUAUAUAGUUAUUGUUGGAGACUUGAGAUGAUAUUUGUUGUGUGUUAAUUGUGUAGGACCUUUAUAUGAUAUUAUUGACCUUGUAGUUAAAUUUUAUGCCUUGGUAGUUGACGUAAUGUCCGAGUGGAGGCUUAAAAUGGAAUUAAGGAUGCCUUAAUUACAUGAUUGUUUCAAUGGUACAUUACUUAUAUUAAAUCAUGGAUUGUUGACAUAUUGAGUAGAUUUUGAGCCCAUGUGUAUAUGUUAUGAAUGAAUUUGAGAUCUUUAUACUAAUUUGGUUGUGCGCAUUACAUCCUCAUAUCAUACAUACAUUCAUGAGACACUGGUACCACUGUGGAAAUACUAAUUUUUCACAUAAAUGUGAUACCUUCAAAAAUCCUUUGUCGUAGCCCACGAGUUGGAGAGAAGAUAUGGAUAUUGAGACUGGAAUUGAGUAUUGAGAUUAUAUAUGGGUUUUGAACCCCCCAUGAAUUCUACCUAGGUGUAGUGAUCGGUAGGUGUAUAUGGAGGUUAUGUUAUAACCUUGAUCAUAUCACACCAUCACCACCACCACCACCACAACUAUCAUCAUCAACAUCAUUAUUUUCACUAAAUUGUAUUGCAUUACUUGCAUUGCAUUAUCCUUCUUGGUAUGGUUAAUAUUGUGUUAGUGUUUACUUUUGUACUGUAUUAUCGUGUUAGAAACUUGUUUGUGAUAUUAUAUUUUGAGCAUCCAUUUAACUUCAUUACAUUACUUUACAUCAUCUUAUUUGAAUUUGGAGUUGAGAUAUUAUAAGACUUGGGGUAAAGCUAUGGUUUAAUCUGAAAUAUCAUUGGAUUGUACCUUUGAUGACAUAUUAUUGAAUCUUUCUAUAAUUUCUCCUUAACUGAUAUCAUAAUUGUUGGUUGAUAUCAUGUGAUUAAGCCUGAAAUGUAUAUGUUGUGUAAUAAGUGUUCUGUAUAAGUGUUUCUCUCUAAUUGCGGAUCAUGAAGUGGCUAUUGUUGACUCACCCAGGUUAUAGUACCUACCCUAUUUUGGUUAUGGCUUUUGACUGUUGUUUUAGGUUACCCUAGUAGGAUUAAGUAUUAUGAUUUGGCGGAUUGUAGAUUAAUUUGAUACUUUGGGUAGCUGGAGUGGUGGUUCUCGCCAUCACUUUGGAUUAGGGUCCGUCAUUGUAAUACUCCGUAAUUGUCUUAGCUCAAUUCAGCCCAUAGUACAUGUACAUGAAGCUUAGAACCUGAAAAUUUAGCUAAGUGUUGGAGACAUAGUUUAAUUUUUACCACUUAACUUUGAUGAUUUUUAAAGUGACCUUCCGAACCUAGAGACGUAAGUUUUUGAGUUGAUUCAUGUUCAGGGGUAUAAGUAGCAUGUCUCGGGUAAGUUUUAAAUUUUUCGGAUGAGGUUUGGACCACGUUAGGAUUUCCAAAACAGCAAGUCACUGCGAUUGUGGUGCGUCGCGGUGGAAUAGCAGUGGCAGACUUGGCACGUCACGGUGAGAGCCCAAUCAGCAUUUCAAUUAUGAAUUUUAAUUUUUCAAGGGUAGUCUGGUCUUUUCCCAUGGCCCCAACUCAUAAAAACAUGAGAUUUAUCAUCAGUUAAAACAUUAUGUACCCUAUUUCCACAAUUUCUCUUUAAUAUAAACCUUAGCCCUCACCCAAAUUCAUCUAGUUCAACCAUUGUUCCUUUAAGAAAACUCAAGAAUUCAAGCUUCACCACCCAAGAACGAUAAAAAACGUCAAUUUUCUUGCAAGAUUAAAGCCUUAAGGUAUGUUAGAGGUUCAUUCAUGGGCCCUUUUCACCCAUGGAGUCCAAGAACCUAUUUUAUGUUUUAAACUAUGAAUUUACAUGUUUACAAUGAGUUAUUUUCAUGAAGUUUUUUUAGGGGGAAUUUCAAUUUUCAAUUAUGCAUGAUGAUUACAAUUGUUUUAGUUGGAAAGUAGCCCUUACACGUUUGAAGCAUGAAAUUUCAUGUCAAAUCCCCAAAGUAUGGUUUUAGUGUUAUGAUUUUGUUAUUCGCAUAUGUUUCAACUAUUCCCAUGCCUAAGUUCAUGAAUUUAAAGUGUUUGAUGAAAUGCCUAAGAGAUGAAUUUUGAGCAGUGACUACUUAUUAUGCAUUUGAAAACUUUGUUAUGCACCUAUUCUUGAUGUUAUCGAGCCCUGGGGUAUCAGUACCCAAAAUUUAGUUGUUUACUUAAUACUAGUACUUUUAGAAUGGUUUUCAGGCAUAUAUAACUAUUAUCAGUUCAGUUAGUUAUCCUAUCAAUCAAGUUUAGCUUAGUUCAGUAAUCCGACUCAGUUUAGUUGGGAGUAGGAUUUAGCACCGAGCGAACCUAGGGAUGAGGUCUCACCUGCCAGUUAAGGGUGUGACCUUUAGUAGCAAUCCCUGCGUUCUGAAACUACGUAGCCAGUGUAGGUUAGAGAUGUUAACCUGCCAGUUGAGAGUUGGCACAUAUCUCACCAGAGCACCUGCCAGUAGAGGGUGACUCUUUAGUCCUUUAGGACUUUAUUUCAGUGGAUCCACGUAGCCAGUAUUAGUACCCGUGGUACGGUACUGACAUCCUUCCAACUGAGAUCACAGGUUGGACCCCAAUUAACUCUUAAUUAGGGCAUGUCGGUUAGAAGAUAGCUCCUAUAGUCUCAAUCCAAUAUUCAGUUCAGAGUUAAGUUUCAGGUUUGCUUGACCGCAACAUACAAUUAUUAUUUGUUCAAUAUCAUUAUUUCAGUUUACAGACCAUUCUAGUAUCAUAUCAUAUGCUUGGUCAUGCAUUCUCUGAUUUUACAGCUUUCACGCAUACUAUAAAUCAGUUAUUUUAUGUCAUUCAUUCAGUCAGCUAUUAUUUAUGCAUAUGAGCCAUGCAUAUCAGCUUAACCUCAUUUAGUAUACCAGCACAUUCAAAGUACUGACCGCAUACCUGUUUCUUAUGCUAUGAUGUCUCAUAUCAUAGGUUCAGACGCUUAGGUUUCCGGUGGCACCUAGACAUCCCAGCGCACCAGCAGCAACAGCAGUGGUGAGUCCUGUCGAGCCCUAUUUCGAACCAGUCGAAACAACACACGACGUAUGGUGGUAUGUCGUGACUCUUGGGAUUUGAAAUUUUUUUUUUUAGAGUCGCCACCUAACUUUUAGGAAAAUUAGGAAAAUCAUUUUUAUGGUAAAACUUUGUAUUAGUCUAUCGAAAAUAUUUUAGAGAUUCUGAGUAAGGGUUUUGGUUACUCGAGAGGUAGGUGUUAGGCACCCCUCAAAGCCUAUCCGAAGAUAGUCCUUACACCCCUCAGUCCAUCACGGAACUCCAACUCCCGCGGGUGUACAUGAAACAAUGAAAAGGAUAAAGUUAGCAACUAAUCACCAAUCACUAAAAUAUAGCAACAAUACACUAAGGAGAAGAUAUAUAAGCAUAAUCAUAUUUCAAAGCUACAAAUGGGGGGCAACACACGUCCAAAAAAUAUAUAUAUAUAUAUAAACCAUUCUAAUAUAAAGUGAAAGUUUGUUUGAACUCUAACUGAAGUGAACAUUGCAUGUAUACAAUGGUAUUAAGUGAUAGAGUUCUUGGACAUUACAAAGGUACUAAGUACCUUGGGCAUUAUAUUUCUAAAAUUCAAAAGGGCCAACUAACCUGUUCUCUUACAUUUAAGAGGAAUAUGUAUAUUGUACUUACUAUUGGCUAGAACUCAGAAAAACAGUAGUCCUAUUAUUUUGACUGUCUUCUUUCUAAAAAUAUACCAAAAGAGAAGACAAAAAAUAAAUAACUCCCAAAUAUUAGUUACCAACAUUUUACAAAAGAUAUGAUUCUGACUUCAAUUUUAUGUCCGAAUACCAUGAAUUAAAAUGAGAUAAAAUUACAAUAAAUUGUCGCAACUCGGGCUAGUCAUUAGACGAGAAGCCAAACGUUAUAUGGCGUCCGUAGUAGUACAACGAAAUAUUAUAGAGAUGCGAACAAACUGCACCAUUCCUUCAUUUGUAUGAAAAUGAAUUACCAACUACUUGCAACAUACAAAAAUAGAUUAUUUUGCAAAAUGUCAAAGCAAAAACUAGAGGAACUCAUCUACAUAACUAAACAAACUAUCCAUACGUAGACACGGGAUAGACAUUCUCAAACGAUCAUGAUGAUGGAACAAACACUGCAACAUUUUGGACAGACAGAAAACAUAUAACAAUAAGAACCAAUCAACAAGAGAAAAAUUUGAAUUUGAGCAUUGUUUCCAGCUAGCACGUCCCCCUCCCCCUUCUAAUUAGGUUUCAAGGUCUCAAAACGCUACUGAGAUGCUACGCCUAUUAUUCUCUAAUUCUUGAGAAAAACAUAACCACCAAAUGCCGAAUAACCUUCCGGGAAAAUAGUCCAACAAUAUUAUAUAUCGAGAUAGAAAGCGUAGACAAAUUCAGGACAACGAAAGUUUUUCAUAUGAUCCAAAUCAAAAUAAGAUCAUACUUUUAAAGGAAAAUCCUGUUCAAAUUCUCUCUUUUUUUAGGAGAGAUAACAUCGUGACCAAAAUAUGCAACACGCAUUUCUAUCCCAGGUUUGAUAAUGAUACCAGACAAACAACGGAACACCAAAAUCAGUCCAAAAUAAUCCACAAAUUAGAAAAAAAUCAUGAGCCCUUUUGGAACUAAUUUCGGCCAACAACAAAAACACAAAAAUACAAGAUAUAAUGGUGUAUUUAUACAUCAAAACAAAAAACAUAUAUGAAGAACAAGAUGAACACAAAGGCACAAGAUUCGUAGUCAAUAAUAACAACAAGAACACAAGGUUACACCACAAACACCAAACACAAUUACAAGAAAAGUAAAAAGAUAGAUAGAUAGACCACAUGAAGGAAUAAUCUUAAGAACCCAAGAAUGGACAAUAUUGGACCCUUAACACUACACACAAUAAUAAACCGAUAUCUUACAAUGAUACAAGUUAGGAUUCCACCUCCCAAGCAUCAAUGUUUCCAAGCAAAGCAAACGACAAAAGAGAAUCCACCCUUUUGAUGUACCUAGUUACAAUUUCGAUGUUUGGGUGCCUCAAAUGAGAGAGGACUUGAUGUUCCUUGUGUCUUACAAGACUUACAACAUACAAAAUCUUCCAAUGAAACCCUAUAAAUGUUUCUUAUAUAUUACAAUAGAAUUAGAAGUUAAAAUGACCAAAAGAGCCCUUCAAGAAUGGGCUUCCCCUCUAGUGUAUGUAGCGGGCUGUUUUGGUGUGUAUUUGGGCCCUUAAUUACACUUAUCUUGCACACACACUUGAAAAACUUCAAUACACAACCACAUUAGUCCAUCUACGUGAUCGCACUCGUAUCAUCCUCUCCAUCUUGAGAGAAAUUUGCCCCCAAAUUCACGGUUUCACUUCGUUCAAUUGGCCACUUCAUAAGCGAUCACUCAAAACAGUCCGCAAAACAUGAAGAAACCUAGAGUUCAAUAAAACUUGGCACGUAUCAAAAAAGACUCCAAAAAUAGUCCACCAACAAGAUGGACCCGAGAGCAACACAAAUACAAUUCGAGGCUAACAUCUUCACUUUGAACCUUGGCUUCCUCUCCAUCUUGAGUUUUGGCUUCAAUAUUAUCCGACUCAAGUAUCCCUCCAUCAUAUAAGCAUUGUCGUAGACUCCAUAUCCUUCAUGUCCCUCUCUACCAUGUUCCUCUUCUUGGAUGUGUAGGCUUUGGUAAAGCAGAGUUUCGAUUGAGAGGAUUGAUUUGGUAAAGUGGACUAUUUUGGUAAUGUGGAGCUUCAGUUGUGGAGGUUGGAUGGGAGGAAAUUAUCUUACAAGUCCUUCUUGUUGGACUUGAUCAAAUAGCUGGGGAAGGGGUCUACCUUGUUCUCGGUAUUAUGGGUAAUUUGUAGCUUGGCUUAUGGCAUUUUGUGGUGAACUUGGAGGAUUGAAUUUUGUAGGUAAAGUUUCGGGAGUAAAAUCAUGAGAGAUCCUUCGUCUCUCCAUUCGAUCCAACCUCUCACUCAUAGUUACCACAUCCGAGUGAAUGUUUUCAAGACCCACAUUUGCCCUAGCAAGGUCUUGGGACAAAGCAUCAAGGAGGGCCAAAAUGGUUUCCAUUAGGACCAAAAGCUACCUACAAAACAACAAAAAAGUUAGUUGUACAAGCAUGGUCCUCACACUCCCUUUCUAUCAUUUUGUCUCUCAAAUUUUUCACACUUUGAUCUCACAAGUGUCGUAACCUCGCUUGUACUCCGUGAGGCAUUGAGAGUUGGACCAAGUAUCACAACGAGUCAAAAGAAUAAGACACACAAAGGAACGUAUACAUGAAGAACGGUUUCAAAACUAACUUAUAAUCUAGUACUAGCUUGUAAGUUAGCAAUGGAAUCAACAAACGAAGCUAAAGAAAUAAUAAAAUGAAACUAAGAAAUCUAAAAUUUGAGCCAAAAGUGUUACGUAAACAGUAAAAACGAUGAUGUGGCAGUCACGUAUUGGUUGCGAUUUCUCAAUUUUAUAUUUCAAUUUCAAAUCUUGGUCCCACUGUAAUUUGGAAUUGGUUAAGGAGGGAAAUAAAAGUCUUUGGAGCUCUUUUUCAAUUCAAGUUUUAAGACUUUGACUUUCUUGUACUCCUCCUUAAAACAUGGACCCUUGUAUCAUGGAAAGUUGUUGGAAAAAGGUUGAUAAAGUCUUUGGUGGUUGGGGGUUUGUCAAGACUAACAAUUCUUAACCUUUUUCCUUCAACUUAUAAAAUCAACAACCACCUUUUCUUCAACAACAUAUAGAGAUGGUGAAGAACACCAAGAACACAAACUUUGAGUCUUGAAGUUCUAAGGUUCAAGUUGGACCCUCCAAAAAAAACAACACCACCUUUUCAAGCUUAAAAUACACAACACAAUUUCCACAAUACACGUUCAAAACUUGAACCAACAACAACAAUCCCAACAACAAUCAGCCACACUUUGGAUUCACAACAACAACAUCAACUUUUAAAGCUCAAACUUAGAUUUAGACUCCUUUAGUGUUAGGGAUGAAGAAGCUAACACUACUAAAAAUACAACACACAAAAAGGACUCUUAGAUCUAAGUUUACAAGACACAAAUCUCGGCUUAGACACAACAAGACACAAUUUUUUGCCAAGAACACACAAGUGGACAGAUAACUAUUUUCUGGAAAUUUCAGUUUUCAAUUUUUUUUUUUAUUUUCAACUAAGAGAGCCCAAGAUUGGUAGUGUGAGCACACGACCAUCCUUUGCUCUGAUACCAAAUGAUACCAGACAAACAACGAAACACCAAAAUCAGUCCAAAAAUAGUCCACAAAUUAAAAGAAAUUCAUGAGCCCUUUUGGAACUAGUUUCGGCCAACAACAAAAAUACAAAAAUACAAGAUAUAAGGGUGUAUUUAUGCACCAAAAUAGAAACAAUAUGUGAAGAACAAGAUGAACACAAAGGCACAAGAUUCGGAGUCAACAAUAACAACAAGAACACAAGAUUUUACCACAAACACCAAAGACAAUUACAAGAAAAGUAAAAGGAUAGAUAGAUAGACCACACGAAUGUAUAAUCUUAAGAACCCAAGAAUGGACAAUCUUGGACCCUUAACACUAUACAUAAUACCGAUCUCUUACAAUGAUACAAGUUUGGAUUCCACCUCCCAAGCAUCAAUGUUUUCAAGCAAAGCAAACAACAAAAGAGAAUCCACCAUUUUGAUGUACCUAGUUAUAAUUUCGGGUUUGGGUGCCUCAAAGGAGAGAGGACUUAAUGUUCCUUGUGUCUUAAAAGACUUACAAUAUACAAAAUCUUCCAAUGAAACCCUAGAAAUGUUUCUUAUAUAUUACAAUAGAAUUAGAAGUUAAAAUGACCAAAAGGUCCCUUCAAGAAUGGCCUCCCCCCUAGUGUACGUAGCGGGCUGUUUUGGUGUGUAUUUGGGCCCUUAAUUACACUUCUCUUGUACACACACUUGGACAACUUCAAUACACACCAACAUGAGUCCAUCUACGUGAUCGCACUCGUAUCAGAUAAUGACACCCAUUUUUUAACGAAAUUCGAUACAAGUCCGCUUCAGAGUUGACAAGAAGAUAUGAACUUAUACGGAGAUGACAUUUAAGACAUAUUUCUAAAGAAAAUUACAAUCCAAAGAGUACUUUAAAGUUUGUAUUCAAGGUAAAUGAGAUCAUGGAGUUUCUUUUCUCUUUAUCGACCAAGUGAGUAUUACUAAAAAAAAUUAAAAAAAAAUGGGAGACAAAAGAAAACUACAUACUCAUCAAAUCUAAGAAAAUACGGAAAAGAAUCGGAGAAAUAUUAGAGUUAUGGGGAAACAAAUUAGGGGGAUUUUAGAUCACAAAUCCUCACUCAGAACUUCUCUAUUUCAAACAUAUUAGCACAAAGGAAUCAAAAAUCAAAGAGAGAUGAAAAGAGAUGAAUCCGCACCUUGUUUGGUGCAGUAAACCGAAGGCUCAGACGUUAAGAAAUUCUCCGAUGAAGAUUUUGAAUUUGGAGACUUGAGUUUUAACCGGGAAUGAGAAAUCAAAACUGUAGUUCUCAAGACCUUCUUGAAAAUUAUUUCUUCUAGUUUCUACUUGUGAUUUCCCAAUUCUAAACCCCUUAAAAAAAAGAAAUUCUUAAUCCCCUUUCUUCCGAACCCCAAAACUCACUGUUCCUCCUCCUUUUAAUUUCUCUCGAAUCUACUUGCUUCUUUUCUCUCAAAGUUUCUUGUUAUUUUUUUUUAUCUUAUUCAACUGUCCCCCCAUGGAAACGAAAGACCAAUAUUUAUAGGCACAAAACCUUAUAAUAAAAAAAUGGAAAGAAGGAGGAAAUUUAAAUUUUUGAUGAAUCCCUUCGUACCUCAGCUCUUCUAGGUCAUUAAUGGUGGAUUCAAAACGAAAAAUAAAUUGUUGCAUCAUUUUGGGACUGUUUUUUCUAUUUUGUUCAGAUUCACGAGCUGGACAUUUAGAAAAAGGAAAGAUUUUAUGGAAAGUGUGGCAACCGUAUCUGCCAUGGCCGCAGUCUAUGACGAUUAGGGUUUUCUUGUUUGAGGGAUGGGGGAGAUAGGUGGAGAGGUGAAGGGAGAAGAGAGGGGUGGUUUAGGUUGUGUUUUGAAAAAAAUGGGAUGGUGAUGUAUGAGAGCGUGAAAGGGGAGAUGGAGACAUGACUCUAUCUUUUGGGAAAGUGGUGUUUCAUGCUUAUUUAAUUAUUGGAAAAAUAAAAGAAGUAUGAUGUACUUUGCCUGAAAUAUGGGUCGUCUGAUCGUUUGAUCGAACGGUCCACAUUUUAAUAUAAGAGAAAAAUAAAAUUAUAAAUUUAUAUAUAUGGGCAAAUAUAAAGAGACUGAUCCGUCCGAUCAUUUAAUCAGAAGAUUUAAAAUCAAUAAUAAAAAAAAUAAAAUAAAUAAAUAAUAAAAACUAGUUAAAUAUAUAGAGUACAUAUAUAAAUAUAAAUUAUAAGGUUAAGAAUUUUGGAUCUAUGGGUUAAAAAUAAAUUGAUAGGCUAGAUUGAUGGGUGUCGGUUGAAUGAAAAGAUGAAGCGGACAUAGAUAUUGGGUUGGGUUUUGGGCCAAUUUUUAGGCACCUUGUUGAAAUUUAUAAAUGAAGAGUUGGGUUCGGAUGAAAUAAGAAAAUUGGAGUAUUGUUAGCCCGAAUACUCUAUCUACUGAAAUUAAAUUAAUCGAUACUUCUGAUAUCCUAAAAAAUAUUUUAGUUUAACGUAUACAAAUUUCAGACAUAAUUUGUAUAAGCGUCUAAUUUGAUAUUUUUUGUGAUUUAAUAUUAACAAUAUAUGUGUGUGUAAAAAUUAAGAAUAUAAUAAAAUAUAAAAAAUAUCUUUUAUAUAAUAAAAUAUACAUAUACAUGUCACAAUAUCACCGAAAAAUAAAAUUAAGAAGAAAUGCAAAUGCAAUCACCAAAAGAUAUUUUAGAAAGAGGGAGCCAAAAUUGGGUGUCACCAGUCCUCAUAUUUCGAGGACCGAUUAUGUUAUUUCAGUCUAGUAGUCUGUCGAGUUAGUUGGGGACUUGUCCCAUCAACUCCACAGUCAGUCAGUUAGAGGCUUUCAAACACUUUCAGAUAGUUAGUUAGUUAUCCGAUGUUAUUGGCAGUCUUUAUAGUAUUGUUUUCGUACUUGUUAUUUCAGAGAUAUUUUAAAUGUUCAAACCUUAUGGCGUAUCUAGCUUCGUUUUUUGCACAUGUGUAUCCUUUAUUAUCAGUUUGUUCAGUGCUCACAACAGGUACCAAAUCAUGGGUUAGCUUGUGAUCACUUGUGACUGCAAGCACCGUGUGGCAUCCAGGGUGUACUCCCGGGGCGUUACAGUUAUCGAAGAUGCUUGCUGAGUACACGUGAAUUUACGCACUCACAUUUCCUUUUAUUUUCCUUUUCUUGUUUUCUGCACUCCAUGCAGGUAGUGGAUCGAGUAGCAGUUUGUAGAUCAUUUCUUACUGCAUUGACUUUGUGUAGAUCGAGGUAGUGACGGAUGGACUUCAAGCUUACCCAAAUCUCUUUCUUACUAUCUUGUGCUUACUUUUGUAUACAAGAUAUCUUAGUAUACUUGUUACAAAUUUGUCUUGUAUUAGUGACCACCAGACCUGAAAGAAUAUUAUUUCUCCUUUAUUUAUAUUUUGAGUUUAUUCUCCGAUCUUUUGCUUAUUUAAUCUUAAAUUGUGUUUUUGAAUUGGGAUAGGCUUAAUUGUACUAAAGGAUGCACAGAUGCCAUCACGUGCCUAUUUUGGGUCGUGACAUGUAGCUUAAGUUGAUUUUAAAACAUUGGUUUCCUCGAGCAAAAAUUAAAGCCUAGAUUUGCUUGCAUUUAUUUUAUUAGAAAAUCAUUAAUCUCAUAUUGAAACUAGAUAUUACUCCCUUUCGUAGUUUUACUAGUCCACAUUAUUAAAAAUAGAUGUCUAACAACACUUGUCAAAUUUAGAAAACCAAUGAAAUUUACGUAUUUGUGUUCAUCUUAUCCUUAGUUAUUAACUAUAGUUAUUACGCAAUACAUUUGCUAAGUAUUGAAUUUAUUAUAUUCAAAGAGUGAUCAGAACCGGCUCAACACUAUUGAGGGCCUAAAGAAAAACUUCAUUGAGAGGCUUUGAUUUUUCUUGUCACACACAAAAAAAAUAAGUAUAUACUAUUUGUUUAAAUCUAUUUUUCUAGCUUUUUGAGAUGCAAAGUUAUAAAUAGUUGUCUUAUAAUAUUACCAUUUAAUUCAACUGAAUUAGUAACUUGUUCAUCUUGAUAACAUUCUCCUAAAUUUUCUAAUUUUGUUUUCUAAUUAUUUAUUGAAAAAUUUAUCUAAAGAUCCUUUUUGAUAUUGCAUCAAAGCUUCUUGUUUUUUUUUUUCACUUUUGAAGAUCGGGAUUCAUAUUUUCUAACUGACAUAUAAUUUCUUUUUAAAUAACAAUAUAUAUUCAAGAAAUAAUAGAUAUGUCUAUCAAUAUAUGUCUACACAAUUAUUUAACUAAAAAUAAUACUAAAAAUCUAAAAUGAUAGAGCCCGAUUUAAUAACUUGACACAAAAAUAAUAACUUCAGUCCUCACAAACUAUCAACAAUUUUGAUAAUCCAAGAAAAAUUAGAGCAAUAAUAAUAUUAUAAUAGGAGAUCUUUGAAAAAUUGAAGCUUUAUAAUCUAUAAUCUAUAAUAUAUUAAAAGUGUGAAGGACCUUAGAAAUGUUGUUUGAACUUUUUGCCCUUCAUUAAAAGUUUUUGCUUUAGACAAAAUCAUCUUUUCACAAUUUUUUUUAAAAUAUGUAAGAGUUGAAAAAUAAUUAAAUAUAGUUAUGAUAAAACCUUUCCUUGUUUGAAUUCAUUUAAAUUUAGUCCUUAAACUUUUCCUUGUUUGAAUUAUAUACCAUAAAAGGACUUUUACAUUAACUACAUUUUUAUUAAAGUCAAUUCAAUUACUUGAAACGGUAGUAUUACAAAUUUGGUAGGUUUUUUUUGGAGUGAUACAUAUUUCUCUUAGAAAAAUAAGAAUUGUUUUGUUUUUGUAAGCUUUUGGUUAAUAUAUUACGGUGAGUUUUGAACAAUUAACUAUCUUCCAAACAUGACACUGCUUGAUUAGGAGCUCGAAGAAAGGCUUUCAAGUACAUUCUUGGAUCCUUAGGGCGAUCAAGGCUUGGACCUCCUUAUGUUGGCCUCGAGGUGUGUGAUCAAAAGCGUUGACGCCCAUUUGACUUGUAUCAUCCUCCCCUUCUUGAAAAAAAUUUGAUCUCGAAUUCAAACCUUGAAAAGCCAAAGGAAGGACAAAAAAGUACGAUAUCUUCAUGGCAUGAGAGUUAGAUUUAUCACAGUCAAUCAUAGCAUCUUGCCAAGGUUGCACACACUUAAGAUAUAAUCAAGGAUCAUUUGUAGUAAACAUUAGAAACUUAUUAAAAAAUGCACAAAGGAGUUGGAUAUAGGAAUCACCAAGAGGUAAGGAAACCACAAAGGUCAUAAUGGCAUCACUAAAUCCAAAAGGUGAGGCUACUUUCACCUUAAGAGCCAUAAGACACAAUUGCUUCAUCGCCUCUUUAAGAGACCACAUCAAGAGUUGUGUCUCAAUUGGUUUUAGAGUCUACAAGAUGCAUAUAGCAUUACCAUUCAAACAAGUGGACCAACCAACAAGUUCUCUACCUCUACAUAGAAUAAAUUCAAGAUUAACAUGGAUAUCAUCAUAUGCAAAGAGGUAGUAUAGGAAGGAAUCAAGUGUAAAGGCAUCAUCCAGGGUGCUAUUAUCUAUAACAAUGCUAUUGGGAUCAAAAGAUAUAGCACAUAAUACACACAAGGAUAGAAUAAACAUUAAAACACAUAUGACUUUUUCCUUUCAAACAACUUUCCUUAAGAAAAGGAUCAUCAAUUGUAAUCAAUUCACAAAGAAGGGUAUCACUAGCAUGGAAUCCAUCUAAGGUGUUUUCAAGAGGAGACUCCCUCAUUGACCUACAAGUAGUGAAACGUUAAGAGUUGAAACACACAAUGGUGAACUCUCUUAGAGCUUUUUAUUGCUACCUUUCUUUAAAAAUCCUUCAUCUUUGUUUGAGGUCUUUUCCUUACACAAUGUUAUUCCCUCAAGUGGAUUAUGAAUCCCCAAGAAAGACUCUUCAUCAUAGGGGAGGAUACCAACAUUCUCAUUCAAACUUUUCUUUUCAUGUAGACCAAGCAAUAAGUUGGGCGUACCAAAAUCACCAUAUCCAAAUUUAGCACCUAGGUCAAAUGGAUAGUGUCCAUAGACACGAGUCUAGACAAUACUCUUUUUCCCCACAGGCUUCACCCAAUCUAAAAUAUAUACUCUCCACAUUAGCAUAAGCACCAUCAUAAUCAAAGGGAGAGUAGAGAAAAGUAUAGUCAACUUCAACUAAGGUGUCCUCAUAUAUGUACUCACCAUUAGAUUCAAGAUCAACACCAUGAGUAUUCUCAACUAUAAGGGCACGCAAAGUAGAAGAAGAAAUGAUAUCCAAACAACUGAUACUUUCUUCUUCAAGGAAGGAAUCCUCAAGUAGACACAUACCACUAUUAUCUUCAAAGGGAUUAUUGCUUAAGUCUUCACAAGAAGCAAGCAAUUCAUCCUCAUAAUUAUCAAACAAGGGUGGGGUAUCGCACAUAGGAUCACGUACGCAAACAUUUUCAUGAAGCAAACUCUACUAUAGUUAGCAUAACCAUUCACAUCAAUUAGACCUUGAUAAGAAGUACUACAAGAUGAGUAAUAUAAAACUUCACAAUACUCACGUACAUUCUCACCAUGAUCAUCAUAAGAUUUGUAAAUCAACGAGCUAUACCUUACAUCACCUCUAGGCUCAGAGUGGGAAGUAUAAUACAACUCACAUGCCCCAUCUUCCUCAUAAGAACCAUCACAAGACUCUUCAUCAUCUCCAUACUCACUACAAGAACUAGGGUCAUUAUUCAUCUCAUAUUCUCCUUCGGAGUAGUAGCCCUCAUUUUCAUCCAUAUCUUGAUCGUGUCUAUGUUCAUAGCCCCCAUAAUCUCCAUAUUCUUCGUAGUCAUAACUAUCUUUACCACAAUUAUGGUCACCUUCUCAUAAUCACAAUUGUUCAAGGCUAUCGAAGACAUGCUUCUUUAUAUCACCUUGUACCUACAAAAUGAACAAAUAAAAUUAGUAGUAAAGCUCCUCACCAACACUCAUAAUAAUCUCACCUUUGUGAUCCUCACAAUUGGAGCAACGAAUGUUGAAAGUUGCUUAUACUCCGGUGGUCAAUAAGGUGUCAAUCUCUAUAUUGCGGUCGGAGUGGAUUCUUGUUUGAACGAAUCAAAGAAUAAACACUAUUUAUGGACUUGAAUCAAAAAGUUUCAAUGAAAUAAAAACUAGAAAAACUAAAAAUAAAUAGGACGAUGAAAGAAUUCAGACUCAAGAACAAAUCGAUCAACUUAGUAGACGAAUUACUAGUUGAUGAUUGGUUUAAGAAUCAAAAGAAGAGAUUAAAAAUCAAGAAAAUAAAACUAAAGAAUCAAAACUUGAGCAAUGGAGUAAUUAAAGUGUUAAAAUGCACUUUGAAAACUUGAAUUUUAUGAUUUGGAAUUUGAUAUGCGUUGAGGGGGUAAAUCUGUGUCUAGGAAGGUUGACUUGCGCUUGGGCUGCGUUGGGACCUGCUCCAACAGGUGUGGAGCACCUUGGAUGCAGGUGGUGGUGUUUCUUACUGAUUUGGGUGUGUUGGGGAUGCUGUAACAUGUUAGCCACAUAUGGAGGGCAGGCUGGA